UUGUCUUAUCAAUUUUUUUUAAUAUAAAAAUUCAAAAAGUUUUUAAAUCUUAGAAUAGAAGUUGCAAAAUCUACAACCCUCUUUUGGGGUGUUAGCAUUUUUCAUAUAAUAAGAUAAAAAUAUAUGGAGGCGGCUUGGUCUCUAUACUUUUCGUUUGGUUCGGGGGAUAAGCGGGCCGGGAUAACGAAAGUUAUCCCCGCUAUUCCGCCAAACGGGAUGAUGUUUUAUCGGAAUAUUUUAUCCCGGUCAAAUUAACCUUGCUAUUCCUGAUUAUCCCGGAAUAACAAGACAUUUGCUAUUCCAUCAUUUUGGUGGAAUAGUGCCAUUCCAAUACUUAAUUUCAAACUUAAUUAAAAUUAUAAAUUGAAUUAAAACUAAAUUAUAUAAAUAUAAUAUGUUAUAUAUUAUAAUACAUUAUUUUUAUUAUAAAAUUAUUAAUUGUACUAUAUUAAUACAUAUUAUUUAUAUUUAAAUAUUAUAAUAAAUUAUUUUUAAAUAUUAUAAUAAAUGUUUUUUAUUAAAUUUAAGUUUAAGUAGAAUUUUAAAAAAAUUUGUAAAUUUAUUAUAAUAAAUUAUUUUUAUUAAUCCUUCCCGAACACUAUGCUUAUUUUAAAAUUUUAAAAUUUAAAAAUUUAAAUUUUUAAAAUUUAUAACUUGUAAUCUCAAAAUUAAAGUUUAUAAUUUUAAAUUAUAAAUUAUAAAUUAUAAAUUUUGAUAUUUUAAAAUUUUUAAAUUUAAAAUUUGAUAUUUUAUAUUUUCCAAAUUUAAAUUUGAUCUUUAAAUUUAAAGUUUGAAAUUUAAAAUUUUAAAUUUUAAAUUUAAAAUUUGAGAUUUUAAAUUUAAAAUUUAAAAAUAUAAAUUUAAAUAUUUAAAAAGUAUAAAUUCAAAUAUAGUAAGUAAGAGCGUAAUAUCGUUAUUUUUAUUUAUAAAACCCCCUAUUCUUCCUAUUUCAAUUUACCUAGGCAAACACUAUUUUUUUUUUUUAUUCCCAGGAGCAACUCAACUUUUAUCCAAACAUAAAAUUGAUCUAAUCUCGCUUAUACCUCAAUUUAUAUCUAUUCCUGAAAUAGUCACUUUUUGCUUAUCCUCGAACCAAACGAUACCUUAAUUUAAACAGUCUGAUCUCUCUUUAGUAUCUAAUUACGUAUAAUCAUGUCUGAAGUAAACUGAAAUAAGCGAAUCAGUAAUAGGUGAUGGACAGCGUUGACGCGAAAAGUACAUGGAUCUAUCCACAAUAUGAGGAUAGAAGAGGGACUACUUAAGCAUUCUACCCUUUAUAAUAAAAGGGUAACAGCUGUGGCUUUCCUCUACACCUUUUGGCUAAAAGUGAGCUUAGGGUUAGUGGGGGGCCUUUUGGGGACCUCUUAAGAAAGGUAAUUGAUUACUAAUUGAUCUUAUGCAAGGCAAUUACUAGAAGGAUUCCUCUUGGGGUGGCACCCUCUCUUAUUCCUCCUUUUUAUAAGCAUGUUAUCAUGGUUCAUGACUAAGCCUAAACACUUAAAAAAAUGUAAAAGGAGAGAGGAUCAAAGGGUGUAAACCACAAAAAAUAAUAAGAAGAAAAGCAAAGGCCAACCUUAAAAAAACAAAAAGAAAAAUUAGGUCCACUUUAGAGCCUACUUGCCUGGAAAGCUUAGCAGGCUAUGAUGAAGCUGCAUUAGUAUUAGCUCCAGUGUGGGGCCUUUCUUAAUCAAGCACAUUCAAUGGUGUAGAUUAAUAUCACCAUUUAAGAGAUAACACAAUAGUGAGUUUGUCGGCAAUCGUCCGAUGGCGAUCGAAGGGACGAUACGAGUUUGUUGACAUUAUUAUUUUCAGUGUUAUUUUCUAUCUGAUCGAUCUUAUAUGGUAUAAAAAUUAUGAAUGUUACUUUCUCCCAACUUAUAAUAAAUGGAUUCAUAACCCCUCUUUGUUCUCUUACCACACAUAAGAAGGGGUGCUUUAGUUGAUUUGGUUUUUAAAAUAAAUUCUCUACUUCAAAAUUUGCUAAGUUUAGCAAUUUGGCAAGCAAAUAGUUUGAAGUUUUUGUUUCCGAACGCUAAAAGCAAAAGCUUUAAUUUAAAGCUAUCGGCGAUAAUACCAAUUGAAAAAAAAAGUUCUUAGUGUCUUAUCAAAUAUCUUUAUUUACGAUCCUAUUCAGAAUACCUAAUGAAACCAAACAAGUGCUACGACUAAUAUAUAUUGGGUCGUUUCUCACGAAAUAUUUCUUUGAGAUAAUAUGGUAUCAGAACUAGUCCUGACAACCACCAUACACGUGAGUGUACGUAUUAAGACUAAUACUGAGUUAUUUUCUGCCGAAUUGAUUUGUUGCGUAACAAUAAAUGCUUAGGCAAGAGAGCUGAUGAGUACUGGCUAGUUUUUGGUCUUUGAUGAGUGAGACAGGAACAGGAACUGAUCUCCACUAUAUGGUCUAGUGUGAUCAACAAAACAAGGAAAUUGGGAGGGAAAUGGGGGACAGGGAUCCUUAGAAGAUAAGGAGAGGAGGGGAGGAGGGGUUUUGUUACAAAGCUUCCACAAGACAUUGAUGGGAAGGUGAAUGGAAUCAUUAGCAUGGGAGAAAGCCAAGUGGCCCUCCUUGUGGCAGACCAUAAAGGGGAAUUGGUAUUUGCUAUUAUGUAUAGGCCUUUAUUAUAAGCUCCAUAAUAUUGUGUUCUCAAUGUUAUAAACUCUAGAUUUAGUAAAUAUGGUUUCAUUAGAGUAAAAAGGAGGUGAUUAUCAUUAUUAUUAUUAUUAUUAUUAUUAUUAACAUCUAGUAGGAAAUGUUAAGUUUAAUGAAGGGAGCAUGGGCUAGGAGGAACCCAAAAUAUACCCCCAAAACUUAACCUAUUAAGCCGGUUGCGAAAUUCUUCUGCUUUCAGCUGCAAUAAUUUCUAGUACUUUUGGCAAAGAGAAAAUGUCUAAAUUAAACUUCUAUAUAGUAGGAAACAAAAAUAAAAGUUUGAGCCUCAAAAGUAAAAAAAAAAAAAAGAGAUUCUGAUUUAGUGCUUCUGAUUCUGCUGUAGAAGAAGUUGUCGGAUGUAUUUUAGUAUAGUUCUUUUUCUAAUACAAUUACUCAGACAACACUUCAUCAAACAAUACAAUACUUUGCAAAAAUGCGAAAUAAGCCCUUAAUUAAUUACAUCAAAUUUAUAUAUUUUAUCCCCACCAUAUCAAAACAUCCUAAAGACAUUCUUGGGUGUUCCAAGCUUUAUUUGGUUAAGAAAUUGUAAAGGGUCUCUUACUUUUAUGCAUUGGGAUUGGGGAUCUCAUUUUUAAGUUUGGGAUCAGACUCUAAAUACACACUGAUGAUAAUCAUCUUGGGUGGCUACAGAUUCUGCUGGAUUUGUUGAAUCAUGGACUACACACUCCCCACAGUUGUAGGUGGAACCUGCACCACAAUAUAAGGUUAUUAUGGUGUUUUCAUAUCUGAUUAGCUUCAUCCUUACAAACACAAGAAUUUAGGGGGUAUGAUAAAGAGUAUGGAAAAGUUGAUAAUGUUAAGAUCUUCUUGAAAUAUAUUCAAUUUAUACAUGGUGAUUAUUAAUAUUUAUAUCAGAGUCAGUUCUAAGCUAUCUCCCAGUUUCAAAAAAGAGUUGUGGGUUUAACCCCCACAUUUGUUGUCAAUCAUAGGAAUAUAAAUUAUUACUUGUUAUUGAUCUCGUUAUCUUUUCUGUUAGUAUAUGUACCUAUUAUAAAUCAUCUAAAUUUAUUCAAAUUAUGAUAUAAAAUAGAUGAAAAAAAAAAUGCUAGAUGAAUUAGUGUAUCCACAUAGAUCACUAUCCUGAAAUAAAUAACUGACACACACAAGAAUCUCAAAAGGAUGGCAUGGAGUAGGACAAGUAUCAAUAGGCUAAGCCACAUUCACAGCUUUGUUUACAAUAAUAGAAAUAAUUAAUAGGGGGUAAAGUUGCAUAACCACAUCCCAUGCAUAUGUAUAGGAUGUUAUGUGAUGUAUAUAUCCUAUUCAUCUUACAAUAAUAGUGUGUCUCUGAUCCUCAUUAUUAUUAUCUCUCCCUUCAAGUUUCACCCAUCAUGGAUGUCUAAAAAAGCUAAGGAGAGUGUUAGAUAUAUUGCUUUGUAUAAAAUGUCUCUUAAGAAAGAUGUGAUUCUUUCAACAUCAGUUUAUACCUUCCACGAUCCGCGCCUUCAUCAACAUCCAUUUAAUGGAUUAAGCUAAUGGGUUAAAUCUAUGUUUCUUAGCUCAUCUGUCGAUUUCACGUACCUUUCACAUCCAUUGUGCGUUAUAACAACAAACUUUAAUGCAAAGAAUAGCUUGCAUGAGCUUUGCCUCUGUAUGUAUAUAUAUAUAUAUAUAUAUAUAUGAGGCUAUUUUUGGUUCUAUUUUUUUAGAUUUAUGCAUUGGCAACAUCAAAAUUUAAUGCAAGGAAUGUAUAGAUGUUGUGAGGCUAUUGUUGUUCCAUUUUCAGAUUUAUUUAUUCAUGGCAACAUCAAUUAUUUAAUGCAAGGAAUAGUUUUUCUGAGCUUUGCAUCUGAUAUGUGUAUGAAGUUACUAAUGAUAAAUUAUUAGGCGAAGCCGUUUUUGGUUUAAAGAGGGAAAGGUAGUAAGCAUUUCGCUUUGUUCAUUUCUUAGAAAUGAACUGAAAUAUAAAUCAAUUAGAUUUCAAACGUUGGACUUCGGAUACUAACCAUCAAAUCCUUGGUCAGCUGUGUUGGAUGCAGUUAGUAAGAAUACAGAAAUGUGUAUUAUGAUAUUUACAGGGGUAAAUCUACAAAUAAGGUGAUUGAAGGUAAUAUUGCUCAUAGUAUAUUCUUAGGUUUCUCAAUAGAUUUAAUUAUAUAAAAAUAUAAAAUUAGGUACUUUAUGAUAUAGGGAGAGAGAGGGCUCCCUAUUUACCAAUGAUUUAAAAAUCAGGUCCACCUGUGAUCUAGUCUAUAAAGCGGUUCAGUUCAAUUCUUUAAAUUAGAUAAGUCAAAAAAUCACUUUUAAUCUUUCAAAUCAGUGGUUCAACCAUUGAACAUGUAGAACAGUUCAAUUUUAAUCAAAGUGGCCGGAUUUUUUUUUAAUCAAGCUAUAUUAAAAUCCAAUGACUUAAAAUAAAGUUAGCUGAUUUUAUUUUCUAUUAGCAUAGAUUAGUCUUAUAAAAAAUAAAUUGAAAAUUUAUAUCUAUUUAAUUUAGUUUAGAAAUCAGUAUUUUAUAAUUAUGAUGCUAGAAUAAAAGCAUAUAUAUAUAAUAAAAUUUAAAAUAAUAAUUAAAUAUUUAUGGCAUGAUGCCGACGUUGAUUGAAACUAGUGGCUGACCCACUGGCUGAAUCAGUAACCCUUGACCUAAUAACAUUUUCGAAUCACUGUUUGAUCUGAUUUUUAAAACAUUACUAUUAAUAUGAAACAUAAACAUACACAUUAAGAAGGGGAUUUCUUGGACUAGUACUAUAAAAAGCACUAAUACUAGCAUCCUAAGACAAACAAGUACAAAUUAACCUGCAUUAGGUGUUUGUUUCGACGCAAGUAGAGUACUUUUAAUGUAAGUGAAUUCGCCUGCAUUACGCCGGAAAUCACUCACGUUGAGUCGGAAAUCGCAACUAAUUAAAGAGCUAAAGAUAAGUGUUUGCUUGAUUUUAAACGACGAACGGAAUCGAAAUAGAUUGGAAUGUAAAAUAAAACGGCGAAAUCUCCUGUAUUAAAUAUUAGAUCCAUAGAUAUGGCAAUUGAAUUUCAACUUUCUCUAUAGUGGUUUUCAAGCAAAUAAAUAAAAUAGAGUGAGAGUGGAACAUUAUAUACUUGGUGCCUUUCUUUGUGGAUUGGAUUUGAAUCGAUCUUAUUUUGUCGCCAAAAAUCUCAAACCAAUCUAGCCCAUAGCCCAAUUCUUUUGGGCUAGACCGGUCACGCGCUUAGCCCAAUAAUAGCCCUAGAUUUUGUUUUUUGUUUUUUGUUUUUUUUUUUUUGGUUUAAAACUUUAAAUAGAGUAGGGCUAAUAUACUCUUAUAAGUAUAGAGCACUUUAUACUCAUAAGUUAUUUUUGAUGAUGGAACUUCCGAAUCGACGAUCCACUCCAUUAAAUAUGAUCUAGAGUAUUUGAAACUUCUAAAAAAUAAAUUCAUAAUUUUUGGAAAUCGUAAUAAACUCUAUCAAGCGGUCAUAAAAUGAAUAGUCAAAAUAGAACGACGUUCUAAAAUCUCAAACCAAUCUGGCCCAUAGCCCAAUUUUUUUGGGCUAGACCGGUCACAAAGCUUAGCCCAAUAAUAGCCCUAGAUAUUUUUUUAAAAUAUCUUGUGACACCCAAAUAGUUUCAUAUCAAAUAAAAAUCGAAUUAUGAUUGAGAAUAUAAGGAACAUAAAUUCUAAUAAUAAUAAUUGAGCUUAAUUAUUUUAGAUCGUUAGUUUAGACCUAACGAAUUAUUAUUGCUAAUGGACUGAAUCAUUACAUUUGAUAUUAAAACUUAUUCACUAGCCGAAUAUAUGAGGUGAGCCUCCUAUCACCUAGUGAUUUCAGACUGUAUGUGAUUGAGUUGACGAGGACGCCAAGCCCUAAAUAGAGAGAGUCUGUGUCACUCUAAUAAUCCCACAUCAAAUAGAAAUGAAUUUGAGCCUAAACGAGGAGAGUUUGUGGCACACUAAUUGUCCGACAUUAGAUGGAAAUGAAGUUGUGAGUGAGAUUAUAGGAGACCAUACGUAAUUGGGCCGACUGUGUUUGGAAUAUAAGAAACCAUGAAUCAUAAUAAUAAUAAUUAGGUUUAAAUAUUUUGGGCUAUUUGGACCCAACGAAUUAUUAUUACUAGUAGGUUGGAUCAUUACAUAUCCUUUAAGCCCAAAAGUUUAAUCUUAUAGGUUUCAACCUUUACUCCUUUUGUAGUGACAUUUCAUUACAUAACAUAGCAUUCAAGUGUCUUUUUGAGUUACCAAACUCCGUCUGAGCUCAUACAGCUAACUCACGACCUCUUGCUCUAAUUUCUAGGGUCUCGCUUUUACUAGUGCACCACACCCAUUAUGUCCUACUACCGCAAUUUCUCCGUGUGCGACUCCACAGCUUAGAAGAGUAGCCCAAGAUCAUCAAGCCAUGAAGCCAUCAACUUUGAUAACAUUUGUUAGAAUAGUUUGGCGCACCUUAAGUUCAUACAUAUGGCCCAAAGGGCCGACCGCGUUAUUCGACUCGUAAAACCGAUCCAAUCCAAAAAUUAAGCCUGUAGGAAUUGGGCCCGCUAGCAUGAAUCAAUCCGUCCGUCGUACAUGAAAUCCUAAAUGUUCAUACAUAAUAUCAGAAUAAUACCGUAUAAAAUAUUUGCUUAGGUAAUUCUAAAAAUAUUUUUUUGAUGAUAUUUGAACACAAUACCUCCUACGCUGAUACUAUAUAAAUUAAUUGUUUAUUUUUAAUAACGUAUGCUGUGGGAGAACAAUAUUUAAUAUUUUAUAUUCAACAUUGCUGACAAGUACUGACCGUCCUUAGAGUAAGUGGUAAAAGCUUGAUGGUUGGUACCCGAGAUCCAAGUUCGAAUCCUAGUUGAUUCACAUUUCAAGCUAAGUUUAUUUUUAAAUGAAAUAAACGAAGCAGAUAGUGUGCUACCUAUCUCUAUAAAAAAAAAAAAAACCUAUCACUAUCAUCUGUAGCAUUGAAGUUAAAAAAUUAUAGAAUAUUUUUACUUCUUUUUGGGACCUUCUACAUUGUGAACUCUAAUGGGUUGGGCUUCANCGCACACACACACACACACACAUUGCUGACAAGUAAUAGCAGGAAGUGAGAUUAUCUUAUAGAAAGUAAUUGUUUUAAGAUUUGUAAUGUCUAUAAAGUAAAUCUUAUUUAUAUUUCUCAUCCAGUCCAACUCAACAUGGCCAUAUACAAGUCAUGAAAGUAUAUAAGGGCUUGUUUGGGUCAUCCAUUUUGGACAUGGAAUGAGAAUUGAUUUGAUUAAAUUCGGUUAAUUUUGUUUGGUUUGCAGUAAUCGGUUUGGGAUUCCUAUUCCAAACUGGAAUGAGAAUAUAUGGCCCAUCAGCCUUCCGGUCUUCUAGCCCGGAUUGAGAUUUUAUCUCCGAAGCCCACUAAGUUCCUGAGGUCCAUGCGACCAUCUCACCCUCCAGUCCUUUGUACGAUCUCUUCACCCCUCUCUCAUAAAAAAAAAAAAAAAAAAAAAACCUAUCCUCUCUCAAAAUCCUAUCCCUAACCCACAUCAAUUAAGUUUUUAAAAAUAAAUUUGAUAUUUUUUUUGAAAAACUUAUUAGAGAUAGUAUUAUAUUUUUCAUAAAUUUUAAAUAAUAUAAAAUUAUAUUUGAGAGUAAAAUUAGUAUUAUGGUAUUCUAUAAUUUUUUAGUUUAUACGAACCAAACAAUAAAAUAAUUUUCAAUCCACAAAUGAACCAAACGUUUUGGAAGAGUGAGCCAAUCCAAUUACCAUUCCAAAUUAUUUUUAUUCCAUUCUCUAUUCCAAUUCCACCUUUGAACCAAACAAGCCCUUAAUGUUAUUAUAAGGCUAGCUAAUAUAAGACUAAUACUUAACAAUAUAUAUUUUUAGAGAUAAUUUAAUAUGCUAAAAUUAUAACUCUAAAGUUUAAAUUUUUAUUUUCUAUUGCUAGUAGUGCAUUAAUUAUUGCCUACGUUGAUCAUAUUGGUAAUUAUCAUCAUCAGUUGUUAGAUUGAUUCCUAAUUAAUUAACUAUAUAAAUUCUCUGAUAGGUAAAAGCUCAUUAGGUGCUUAUACAUUUCGUAAUUAGUGGGGAACAUAUUCAUUAUAGCACAUUGUAUUGUGAUGAGCAUAUACUAUCAUGCAUGGUCGGCGCUGUCGUAAGAACAGUGGUGAUACCAUCAAAAAGACUAUUUUAAUCCUUUAAAAUAGAAAACAUGCGUAAAUGGAUCCAUAUCAAAUUUUACAGAUUCGGUAUGAAUUGACACCAGGCAAUACAAGGGCGACAUCCAUGAUAUUGGAGCAGCAUGUCACGAUAUUGGGCAUGCAUUAUGGUAGCGACAUACCCAAUACAGGACGGUACGCUCACAGUUUCUAGAUGUUAGGCGGCAUGAACAGGCAUGGACCAGUGCCACUGGCAUAGACAAUCCUUGACGGGAACCAUUUUCAAUCAUUACUUUAUGAGGAAAAAAAAAAAACAUUAAAUUAAAGUAUUCAUUGAAAAUUACUAUCAGAAUUAUUUGCAAGGUCAGAGAUUUGAACUCUUCGUUUGCGUGUUUCUACAAAAUAAGCUAGAGAGUUUCUAGCCAUUAUCUACCGGGUUGUACUUGAUACAAGUACGACCCAAAACCAAGAAAAGAAAAACAAGAAAAGAAAAACCAAUAGUAGGCAUCUUGUAUAUAUAUAUAUAUAUAUAUAUAUAUAUAUAUAUAUAUGCCAUGACUACUAUACUAUUAUGAGUAUUGGAGCCAUCGUACUCAUAAGUUGUUUUUAAUGAUGGAGCUUUCGAAUCGACAAUCCACUUUGUUAAAUAUGAUCUAGAGUAUUUGAAACUUUUAGAAAAUAAAUUUUGUAAAUUUUUGAAAUCAUAAUAAAGUCCAUCAAGUGGGUAUAAAAUGAACGCUCAAAAUCGAACGACGUCCUAAAAAAGAAUGAUCGGAUCCUUCAAUUCAAGAUCGGAGUUAUUGAUCUUUAUUUAUGUAGUGAAUAGAAUUUUCUAUCAAAAAUUCAACAAAUUCUGAUUCUUUUACACUGUUAAACUAGCAAGUAUUCCAUACCGGCCGUUAAAAAUUGUCAAAUUUGUAACCUCUUUAUCAUAAGGUAAAUGAUGUCAAAAAAUUAUAAAAUUUGAUUUCUAGAAGUUUUAAAUGCUAUAAAUAACGUUUAACGGUGUGGAUCGUAGAUUCGGAAGCUUUAUUAUCGAAAACAACUUAUGAGUACGAGGGCGAUCGUACUCAUAAUAGUAUAGUAGCUGGACCCUAUAUAUAUAUAUAUAUAUAUAUAUAUAUAUAUAUAUAUAUAUAUAUAUAUAUAUAUAUNUAUAUAUAUAUAUAUAUAUAUAUAUUAAGAUCAUAUGCAUGUAAUGAGAGAAGAAGAGUUUAGAAAUUUCCACUUAUCAUAACUAUUGUUAUGUUAUCUGCUGAAAAUUUUCUAAGUACAGAUACUUCUCUAGACGCAAAGUUGUGUGUAUAUCCGCAGUUUCCAGCGGGUUCGAUUAAGCAACUAUAAAUUAAUGUAAAGAUCUUCGAAAUAGUAUAAAAUAUAUUUAACAAAAUAAAUUUUAAUUUUAAGUAUUUUAUGGUUGAGUUUUAGAAAUGUGGUAUAUACGGUACACCGAGCGGCGUACACUGUACUACUUAAAAAUUGUAAGUUCUAUUUCGACAAAUGUAUCAGAUGUACACAUCUUUUUGAAUGUGUUGAGACUAAAUAAUUAAACUACGAUUAUUCUUAGUCUUACAUGGUUUGGUUUUAGAGUGAGGCACAAUUAAUAUACCAGGUUUAUUGGAAUAUUUUUUUUAAAAGUAUAUGAAAUUAUGAUGAAAUGCUAUAUUUUACCUUGUCGUGCUUUGUCAAUAUAGAAUUUUGCUACAAAUUAAGUAGGCAUAUACAGUAAAAUAAAAACUAAAUAAGAGGGGAGAAAAAGAAUAAUUUUUCAAAUUCUAAUAUCAAAUGUGUAUUUUACUCUUAUGUACGUAGCAUGCCAUUAGAUCAUCUGUUACAUGAUUUUUGGACAUUUAGUUUAUAUAUACAUAUAUAUAUAUAUAUAUAUAGAGAGAGAGAGAGAGAGAGAGAGAGAGAGAGAGAGAGAGAGAGAGAGAGAGAGUCCCACUAUUAUACUUUUAUGAGUGCGAUCAUCCUCGUACUCAUAAAUCAUUUUCGAUGAUAGAACUUCCGAAUCGACGAUCCAUAACGUUAAAUAUUAUUUACAGCAUUUAAAAUUUUUAAAAUAUUAAAUUUUAUAAUUUUUCGAUAUCAUUUAGUUUACGAUCAAAAUGUCACAAAAUUAAUAAUUUUUAAUGGCCGGUAUGGAAUACUUGCUAAUUUGACGGUGUCAAAGAAUUUGAAUAUGCUGAAAUUUUGACAGAAAAUUCUAUUUACUAUCUAGAUAAAGAUUAAUAACACCGACCUUGAUGGACCUUUUGAAUCGAUUUUUGACUCUGUUAGAUUUGAUCUAAUAUAUUUGAAGUAUUUGAAAAAUAAAUUUUACGAUUUUUUUAGAUAAAGAUAGCACGCUAUCCACUUUAUUCAUUCAGAAAAUAAAUUCUGCUACAUAAAUUGAGACAACGGGGCCUCGAGUGAGUCAAACAGCUACAGAAAUGUAAAAAAAAAAGAGUCACCUAGAGUUACACAACUCAGCAAAUUUCCUUAUCAAUUCACGAAUUUGUCUAAUAGUCACUAGAGCAUCACUAGAUUGAUUCCUAAAAAUGACAUUGUUUUUGACUCGCGAAAUCAUCCACCAAUAAGUCGACACACUAGUUAAUUAGGUCCUUCUUAGCUGCCCUUUGGCUUUGGGUGCUGUUUUCUAGUAUAAGCUUUCAAACUCUCCUGACCUCCUCCACAGACCUUGGGAUAAAUCUUUCUGCUAAGAUAUAUAUAGAAUAUGAAAUAUAUGCUAAGAAUGCAUCUCACGAGCAGAUGAUCAUCGGUUUCGAGUUCAUCGCCACAUAGAAUACACUGUUAGUUCUCGAACCAACCGCUUUUAAGUAGGUUGUCUACUGUAGGUAGGCUUUUCUUCAUGGCUAACCAAAUAAAAAUCUUAACUUAAGAGGUAUUUUAAAUACCCAAACUUUCUGCAGAAGGACGUCCUGUGUGCCUCCGUCACUAAUCAAUUUAUACACUGAUUUAACAGUGAAGCACAAUCUCACAUUCCAUCUUCACUAUAUUUCAUCAGGUUUAAUUCGUCAGUGAUGUGGAAUCUUGAAAGUAGCUCUUUCGAUAUUAUUUACUUAGUAAUUCGAAGGACUAAAAAUGGAUGGCUAAAAAUAAAAAUCUUACAAAAAAUUAUGAUAUACCACGAAAAUUUUCGAUUAAAGAUAAUUAAUUUUGCUGUAAAUAGUAUUAAAGAAUUUUUGAUCUAAAUUUUAUCUGUUUUAAAUACUUCUGUACCGUUAAACAUGUAAACGGCAUAUAUUAAUCAAUAAAAAUUAUUGAUUUUGAACACUUUCGAUAAAUAGGUAAGUGAUAUCGAAUAGCCUCGUCCUACUCUCUUUCUCUCUCUCUCUCUCUCUCUCUCUAUAACUAAAAUUAUAUGCAACUAUAACUAUAAAUGGUAAAAUUUUAUAUGAUUGAGUUAAAUAAAUUUUUAUUGCAAAUUUUUUUGUAACUUGCUGCACCGCACAUAUCAUCUUACUAGUAAACAUUAAUUCCCAGUGGAUAUCAAAAUGUGAACUGAAUUUCUCAUUGCUUGAACGCAUUUUAAGUUACACAAAUUUCGGAUUAAUAAUUAGACUAAAACGUAGAGAAUUUUUUAAUAUCAUGGGAUCUAGAAGAAAAUAAAUUUCAAUCACGUUAAUUCCAUGGAUCAAUUUACUCCUCAAAAUAAGAAAAUGAAAUGCACCAAAUCCUAUCGAAAGAAACUUUCCAAAUCAAUACCUUUGAUAAAGAAGUUGAUUGCAUCCGCUCAUAUAAAGAGAAGUACUAUUAAGCUCCUUUAUAAAAAAUAAUGUGACGUUAUUAGCUAUAUUAAAAUAUAUCUUCUUAUUUUCUUUCUUUCUUUUAAAAUAGUCCUUGAAAACAUUCUCUAGUGAUGUUUUCUGAAGAAUUAAUAAAACGUGUGCUAAUCUUUCAACCCAAUUUUACUUUUUAUUAGAUGGUAUCAAAGCCACAAACUUCGCUAGCAACAAACGCGGCUAUGGAAGAAAAAAGAAUAUUCCUGCAAGUAUUAGUUUAAAGGUGUCUGUGAAUCGGAUCAGAUUUGAAAAGUUGAUAUACGUACUAUAUUUGUAUCCUUAAAAAAAUAUAAAAAAAAAUACCGUACUCAUUUAACUUCGCAUGGGGUCUGGGUCUGAGCACUUAAGUUAAUAAUAUGCCUAUCGGGUCUACUUGAAUGGGUAUGGGUAGUGACUAUCCGCUUAAGACUGGGUAUGGAUCGGAUAUGAGUCGGAUCUAGAUCAGGUAAGGAUACCUGUAUGCAUAUAUUUUUUUAUAAGCUUUAUUAAAUAAUUUAUGUAUAAACUAUAAAUUUUUCACUAUAAAAAACUCGCGUUCUAAUUAGUUGCACUAAGUCCAAUAAAAUUUGCUCAAAAAAAAAUUCAAACAGUAAACAUCUAGAAUUAAAAAAAGUGAGUAAAAUAAAAAAAUAAAAAAAGAGUAAACAGAGUGACUAAGAUUUUCACUAAAAUGAAAAUAUACGAAAAUCCUUCAUCUAUAAAUUAUACGAAAAUUGAUCCCUCAACUUCAAAUUUUAUUAUUUACUAUCAGGUAUUUCACCGAGUCCCGGUCCGAACCUGGCUCCGGGUCUGGAUUUGAAAACUCUUUCAGACCCUACCCAUUGAAAGGUCAGAUUCGGGUCGGGUCCAAAUCAGAUAUCGGUAUAAAAUAUUCGAACUCGUAUCCAAAACUUUAAUGGAUAAUUUUUUUUAUCCGUAUACUAUCUACUUUGUGUGGAGUCCGAUGCAGGUUCGGAUAGGGUCCGACUAGGGUCCGAAUUGGGUAUGAUAUAUCGGAUAUUUUAGACUGCUUAAUUCUCUUUGCGUAGCCCCUACCACUUACCACAAAAUGCAAACGCCAAUCUUAUCUCUAUCAACAGAGCAACGCAAUUGCCUCUCGAAUUAACCUCUUUAAAUUAUCCAUCAUGCAUGGCGCGUUCAAUUUAAUGCGCUUAUCCUUAGCUUCGGGUCCCGUUCGAGUUCGGAUAGGGUUCAGGUAGGGUCCGAAUCGAGUAUGAUAUUUCGAAUAUUUUCGACAGCUUUAUACUGGUUCUCUUUGCAUAACCCCUACUACUUUACCACCAAAUGAAAACUCUAAUCUUAUCUCUAUCAACGCAGCAACACAAUUGCCUCUCGAAUUAACCUCUUUAAAUUGUCGAUCAUGGUGCGCACAAUUUAAUGCGCUUAUCCUUAGCUUAUCUUCGGCUGUGAUCAUCUGAUGGGAUUUGUUGAUGAUAGCAGCUUAUCUUUGGCUAUGAUCAUCUGAUGGGAUUGGUUGGUUGAUCAAUGGUGGCAAAUGGUGCCCACUCUCUCACAGUGAUCAUGAAGGGGAAGCUCAAUCCGGAGUCCAAAUUUUUGCUCUUUGGCUGCAGUAAGAUCAGCUCUUUUUGUUGCAUGCUGUCGUGAGCAUCAAUCAACAUGGGAGAAUAUCAUGUCUUUCAUUGCCUCCGCUGAGUCGUCGUGUCGUCAUGUGAUGCGUGGCAAAAGCUUGCUCAAUUAUUGCUGAAAAUCUUGUACUCGCUCGCUUUUUCUUUUUCUUUUAGAAAAAGAUAGAUAGCGUGUUAUCCAUCUCAUUUAUUUUAUUUAGAAAUAAAUUUGAUCAUAAAUGUUAAUCAACUAGAAUUCAAACUUAAGACUUCGGAUACCGACCACUAAGUUCUUUGUCACUUGCGUUAGGAUGGUCAGUAAUCUUGUACUCAUUUCGAUACAACAUUUUGAGAAUUCCGCGUUUUGAUACCGAUUGCUAUAAAUCCGGUACUCGCUUUGGUACGGUUGUUAGAAUUCUGCAGCGAAAGCAUUAAAUCAAAUUUUUAGCAUAAACUUGUUUCCUUAGCGAAAACUCGAACAACUAUAAAAAAGAGAAAUAAUAUAUCCAAUGUAAAAUACGGAUAAAAUAAAAUUCAUCAACCAAAAGAAGAAUUAAACUUACUCCUUUCGACGCAGAGUACGUAGCUCCAAUCUGGGCCCUCCUUUUGAAUCUUUUAGCCUUCUCUCGUUUUCCAUAAAUCCACAAGGCUUUUCUCUCUCGAUCACAUGCAUGUUGACUUAAAUAGGCCAGCAUUCUGUCCUGUGGCGGGAGGCUAUGUUGGGCCGAGUCAUAUUCGAAAUGAUAUGAGGCUAGGUGGGCCGAGUCAUAUUCGAAGUGGUGUGAGGCUGGGUGGGCUAAGUCACAAUCGAGACCCGUGGGCGCUGUAUCUGUGCGCUUUAAGUAAAUUGGUUGGGUAUUUCUAACAGCUCGAGCUUUUGGGAUUAAUAGUUAGCGCUAACGAUCUGACAAGUGGUAUCAGAGCCAGAGAUCACUGGUUCGAUUCCUGCAUGCUGCAAAUGUGUGCAGGUGCUGGAGGGGGAAUUGUUUGUUUAAAUGGGCCAGCAUUUUGUUGUGUGGCAGGAGGCCAUGUUGGGUUGAGUCAUGUUCGAAAUUGCGUGAGGCUGGGUGGGCAGAGUCAUGUUCGAAGUGGCCUGAGGCUGGGUGGGCUGAGUCACAAUCAAGACCCGUGGAUGUUGUAUCUGUUUGAGUGAAUUGGUUGCGUAUUUGUAACAGCUCGAACUUUUAGGAUUAAUGGUUAGCGCCAACGAUCCUACAACAUGCACCGAUGUACAAAGUGCAUGCAACCCGGUCUAAACUUCCUCUCCUCUAGGCACACAACAACUUAAACUUCAGCACUCAAGCACUCCCUAAUUAAUCCGCCAUCCAUGCGUUCUAUAAUUCAACUAAAACUCUCGAAUCGUGUCUUUUAAAGACCGUUUUUCUUCUGUCUCACGAGGCACAAAAUCUACAUCCGAGUAUAUAUCCAUGCUCAUCAAGAUAACAGCCUAUCAAGUUAGCUAUUUGUCAAUUCGAUCUCCACUUGAUAAGAUAUUGAUGAUGUCGUCAUUUAUACACUCAACAUAGUAGGCCCCGAAUUUAAAGGGAUCGCAAGAUACUAUAUAUGAGAGCACAAGAGACUGUUCCAAUUACUUUUGAUGAAAUAUAGCAUGAUAAACUAAAAGACUCUGAACAUUUUUUGAAGAAUUAAGGAAGAAAUGUAAAAUGAUGUAACAGUACUUGAUCACAAUUAAUGGUCAACGCACACAGGCUUUUCUCCGUCACCCAACUUCUAUCGAAAACAUGUACAUCAUGUAACUAAUGAUAUGCAAAACCUCUCGCUUCGCUCGAAAUAUCAUGGUCUAGAUGAGAUAGUACGUAGAAGGUGAUCGAUGUUUGCGGAUUACACAUUCUGGUUCUUCGAUCUCUUGUAUCAUCACAUUCUACUUCCUUUCAAUCAUCUAAUGUUCUUUUUACUCGAUCUAUAAAAAAAAAUUCUUACCACCCAAUCUCGUAGUGGAGAUGAACAUCAAAAGCUAAAACUAUUUCUCUUUAAAUAUGGUAUUUUUUAUUUUACCACUCCACCUCACACAUCUGAACAAAACGUUAUUUCAAAAUGUUGCCAUCGUCGUAUUGUUGAGAUAGGCCUCACCCUCUUACAUUAAGCAUCCCUGUCCUCUAUAUUUGAUCACAUGCUUUUUUUCUGUCACCGCAUAUCUUAUUAAUCGUUUUUCUACUUCUAUUUUAAACUUCAAAUCUUUUUUGAAAAAAUUGUUCAGAAUAAAUCUAAUUACUUUGAACUUAAUUAAAGGUCUUCAAAUGCUUAUGCCAUUCUUGGCUUCGUCCUUACUUCAAUCACAAACUUCUUUUAACUACUUAGUUCCUUUAUACAAUUAGCUAUUAAUUUGCUUUCAAUAACUACUAAUAAGAUCCUAUAAAAAUGCUACAACUUAAUUACAUGUAUUCCACUUAAAUUUAUUGGAUUAAUUAAUAAUGAACAUAAUAACUGUCGUACCUAGUGCAUUUGGUUAAAAAUUUGAUGACUGGUAUCCGAAGUUCUAAAUUUGAAGCCUAGCUGAUGGAAAUAAAAAUGUGAAGUUAAUUUCUCUUUGCUUGAACGCAUUUCUAAGUUACAUAAAUAAACUCUUUUGACAAGUGGGUUUAAAUAAUUAGACUAAAAUACAAUUAUAUAUAUAUAUAUAUAUAUAUAUAUAUAUAUAUAUAUAUAUAUAUAUAUAUAUAUAUAUAGGACCUCCAUAUUUUCACUUUAUUUUUAACGAUGAAACAUACAAUUGAACAAUUAGUUUCAUUAAACAUCAUAUAUACUAAUAAAAAAUAUCCAGAUAUCAAAUUUUAUAAUUUUUUUAAUAUUAUUUAUCUAGUGAUCGAAAGGUCUCUGUUGGCAUUCAAUUAAACCAAAUCGGAUGCGUCCACGUACGAUCGGAUUCAAUUAGCCGGUUAUUAUGUUGUUUAAUUAGAUUAGACUUAAUCUCGAUUUUAAAUUAAAAAGUUAAUUAAAAAUAUAUUCUAGUCAUGUUAUGAUAACAAUUAUAAAUCGAUUUAGCCUAAUCUUUUAUUUAUAUAUUAGGACUUUGAAAUUACGUAUAAAUAUGCGGACUAUUCUCUUAUAGGUAGAAUAAGAGAAAAUAAGAGAAAAAAUACUCAAAAAUUUGUAAGUAAUUUGUGAGCCAUGUUGUGAGAGAGAGACCAUAUCCCCCAUUAACCUAUGCUUCUAGAGGGUUCUUGAACGGUAAAUUAGAAAUCGUGCUCGUUUGUAACUCGAUCUACCGCAAGUUUGAAGAGUUAGAAGACCUUCGUGGACGAUUCGAGCAUACAUGAAUCAACUUCUAUGAUUCGAAAUUUAUCGCAUUCUAGCACAAGUCGCAUUUUACUGUCUCAAAAUUAACAAAUUUGAUGACAAAUAUAACACAUUUGUUAGUUCAACAUUAUAAAACAAUUUUAUCAAGUAAAACUUUGAUAAAAGAAAAUUUCAUCAUUUAAAACAAGAUGAAUAGCUUUGAUCUAUAAUUUAAAUCUUAUAUCAUUAUUUUUUCACUACAACAAAAAUGGUGUAUAACGACAAUCUUAAAUAUCGAUACAGGUAAAAAAAUGUGUUGCUGGCUAAAUUAUCGACACUUUUUGAAAGUGUUGCUAUAUGUGGGGUUGCUAUAUGUGAGGACACCUCGAUAUUUGACCCCCACUCUUCCAGCGACCUGUGACUGAGGAACACGUGGUGAUCGUAGCCCUUUACAGUCCCUAUAAGAUCCUCGCGCCCUAACUCCAACCACCGGAACUAUACUUCGUCGGCUGCGGCGGCGGAAAAGGAGAAGGGCAGAUGGUGAUUAAUUUUUUUUUUUUUUUAUUUGUAAUCUGGCCGAGUGGGCUGAGUGAGAUUGGUUGAGUAGAGAAACUUUUUAUUUUUUAUUGGAUUGAACUUUAUACUUAGCCCUUAGUAAAUUUUUAAACUUUUUUUAUAUAAAUAGGACAUUUAUACAAAAAUGUCCUAAAAAUAUAUUUCUAUAAUUUAAUUCUGUUGCAGUGUUUAUAAUAAUUUUUUUUUCCAAUUGUUUAUUUGGAAACCACUAGUUCAUCAGGUAAGUGACUGGCAUGUUGCAUUAAAGAUUGCAAAUUUUGUAGUGCCAUUAUUAGUACCUUUAUACGGUUAGCUAUCACUUUGCUUACGUAAACUACUAAUAAGAUCCUAAAAAUAUAUUUCUCUAAUCUAAUUCUGUUGUAGUGUUUAUAAUAUUUUUUUGGCUAAAUUACAGAAAACCCUCCUGUAAUAACCCGCUUUUUCACUUUCCCACCCUGACAUUUAAAAACCUACACUUUGCCCCCUUGUAAAAUAAAAAAUGUGCACUUCACCCCUACCGUUAGGGUUCCGUUAGGGGUUCUGUUAAAAAAUAUUUUUUUAUACCGAAAAUACCCCUCUGCCUCUUCUCUGAUGCUUCGCUCCCUCCGGCUCGCCGCUUCGCCGCCUCGCCGCCUCGCCGUCCUCCACUGCUUCGCCCUCGCCCACAUCCCUUUCGUCCUCCUCCGCCACCUCGCCUUCGCCCUCGUUGUCCCUACCUACCUCUCCAUUAACACCCAUCUUAGUAUCCUCCCUACUGUCGCCGAAAUCGAUGGGCGGCGACGGUGUAGGAGGAGAAGGGGAGCAGGUGGAGAAGAAAUUGGAGAGGAAUCGUGGCCGAUUGAGGUGGAAAUAGCGGCGGAUCGAAGGGGCGGCUGAGGAAGCUCAGGAAGAAGACAACAAUGGCGAGGGGCAAAAUGGUCAUUUUACACACCGUGACCCCCCUGUGAACAUUUUUUAUUUUACAAGGGGGCAAAGUGUAGGUUUUUUAAUGUCAGGGGGGAAAAGUGAAAAAACGGGUUAUUACAGGGAGGUUUUCUGUAAUUUAGCCUAUUUCUUUUUCUAAUUAUUUAUUUGGAACCCACUGGUUCAUCAAGAAAGUGACUCGCAUGUUGCAUUAAAGAUUGCAAAUUUUAUAGUGCCAUUAUUAGUACCUUUAUACGGUUAGCUAUCACUUUGCUUACGUAAACUACUAAUAAGAUCCUAUAAAAACCUUACAACUUACAUGUAUCCAUUAACUUUAUCAAAUUAAUAACAAACAUAAUAACUGAUUGUACUUAGCAUAGUUGGCUAAAGACGUAAUUGCUGAUAUCCGAAUUUUUUAAGUUAGAACCCUAAUUUAUAGUUAUGAAAAAAAAGUGAAGUUCACUUCUCAUUGCUCCAAGACAUGUCUAAGUUACAUAGAAAAACUCUAUUAUCAAUUUGGUUUUAAUUAGACUAAAAACACAAAUAAUAUAUAUAUAUAUAUAGUAGGGCUAGAAUACUUGUAAAAGUAUCAUGGGGGUGAUACUUGUGUGUUUUUAGCCCUUGGAUGAAGAGAUGUGAGGUUGAGAUGAUGGUGAUAGGUGGUGGUAGGUGGUGGCAGGUGGAAUAGUGUUUAAUCCAAGGGCUAAUAAUAAUCAAAAAGUAGAUCCAAUGGUUUAAAACCUAAUAGCACCAUGAUGGUGAUACUUGUAAAAGUAUCAUAGCUCAACUCUCUCUCUCUCUCUAUAUAUAUAUAUAUGAAGCUACAUCUAUCGGAAGCCCGGAGCUUCGGGCUUCCACUCGUUUUCGAUGUUGCAACUUUCGAAUCGUCGAUCGCUCCGUUAAACUUGAUCUAGAGUAUUUGGAGUACCUAGAAAUAAUUUUAUUAUUUUUUGAUAUCAUUUACUAGUGAUCGAAUGGGCCUCAAAUCAACAAAUUUCAAGGGCCGUGUGUGUGCAGUUUGCAAAUUUAAUGGUGUAGAAAUAUUCAAAUCACGUGAAAUUUUGAUAGAAUUUUUUUAUACUAUAUAAAACAAGUCAAUAUCUUUGAUUUAAAAUUUAAUAUCAUAUUAUUACCUUUGUAAGAUUUUAUUUUCACCGUUGAUUUUGAGCCCUUCGUUCAUUAGGCAAAUGAUAUCGUAAAAUCAUGAAAUUAUUUUCUAGGUACUUCAAAUGCUCUAAUCAAGUUUAAUGGAGCUGAUCGACGAUCGAAAGUCGCAACAUCGAAAAUGAGCUGGAAGCACGGAAGGCUCCGUGCUUCCGAUAGCUAAGUAACCUUACUCUCUCUCUCUCUCUCUCUCUAUAUAUAUAAUAGAGUUGAGCUAGAAUAUCUCAAGGGCACCAUGAAAGUGGUGCUUUUGAGAUUUUAGUCAUUGAUGGAGAGAUCUGAGGUUGAGAUGAUGGUGGUAAGUGUGGUAAGUGGAACAGUGUUUUGAUCCAAAUGCUAUUAGAAUUAAAGAGUAGAUCCAAGGGCUAGAAAUUUAGAAGCACCAAAAAAUUAGUGCUUCUAAAAUAUAUCUAGCUAAAUUAUAUAAAUAUUAUAUAUAUAUAUAUAUAUAUAUAGAGUGAGGCUACUAUGCUAUCGGAAGCCGGAGCCUUCUGUGCUUCCAGCUCGUUUUCGAUGUUGCGACUUUCGAAUCGUCGAUCGCUCCGUUAAACUUGAUCUAGAGUAUUGAGUACCUAGAAAUAAAUUUAUUAUUUUUCGAUAUCAUUUGCCUAAUGAUCGAAUGGGCUCAAAAUCAACAAAUUUCAAUGGCCGUAGUGAGCCGUUUGCAAGUUUAACGGUGUAGAAAUAUCUAAAUCACGUGAAAUUUGAUAGAAAAUUCUUUAUACUAUAUAACAAGAUCAAUAUCUUUGAUUUAAAAUUUAAUGUCAUAUUAUUACAUUUUAUAGAUUUUUAUUUUCAGCCGUUGAUUUUGAGCCUUUUGUUCACUAGGCAAAUGAUAUCGUAAAUCAUAAAAUUAUUUUCUAGGUACUUAAAUACUCUAGAUCAAGUUUAACGGAGCGAUCGGCGUAUUCGAAAGUCGCAACAUCGAAAACGAGGUGGAAGCACGGAAGGCUCCGUGCUUCCAUAGCAUAGUAGUUACUCAUAUAUAUAUAUAUAUAUAUAUAUAUAUAUAUAUAUAUAUAUAUAUAAUAUUAAUAUAUAAUAUAUAUAUAUAUAUAUAUAUAUAUAAUGGACCUCUAUAUUUCCACUUUAUUUUUAACGGCGAGACAUAUAAGUCAACAUUUUUAUCUUCAUUCAAUAUGAUUUACACUAUUAGAAAUGAGUGGUGCUUCCGUACUUUAUUUUUUAAAGAUUAAAUGCACACAGAUUUCUAUAAAUAUAAUAAACUAUAAAUAUAUUUUUAUAAAGUUCAACUUUAAUAUGUUGUUUCUAAAAAAGUUCUAAUAUUUUCAAAUACGUUUCUCUAGUUUGUUACCGUUAGAGAAUUAUUUAUAUUUUAACAGCAAAUAAGUGAAAUCUCAAUUUUGUUAUCACAAAUAUGUUCCUUCAAAAGCUACAACAGUUAUAUAUAUGAGGGAUAAAAAUAUCAAGUUAUCUCAUAAAUUAUCCAGAAUUAAGUAUUUAACCAAUAAUUAACUAAUUUUUACUAACAGAUUCUAACAUUAGGAACAUAUUUAAAAACAUUAGAACUUUACAGAGACAAAAUAUAAAAGUUAAAUUUUAUAAAACACUCUUUGUAUUUUACUAUAUUUGCAUGGACUUGUAUGUAAUUAACCCUAUUUUACUAGUUUGCCGUUCGCUUUCACUUGACGGUCAAGAUUAGCUCCACAACCGGUCAUUGACCGGCUAUUGUAGGUUGUUUCCAAUUCACAGGCUAGCUUUUGCAUGAACCGAGUGCACUAGGCUCAAACUCGUAGAAUUAAAGUUCUUAUUCAAAACAAAAAACCUUAGCAAUGAUAUUAACAAAAAAAUUCAUACAUUUUGAUAUUCGAUUAUAUUCCAGUGAUAUUAAUUUCUUAAUAUCUAUAUAGCACUAUUUGAUACAUAAAUAAUAAAAUUCAAAACUUAUAAUUUUAAUACUUUAUAGUUUGACUUUCUUAAUUAAUAUUGUAGAUAAUAUUAUCAAACUAGUUUUUUGCUAAACCAAACCGUUAUGAGAUUAGGGCUGCAAACGGGGCGAAUUCAAGAGCGGGACGGUUCCCCCACCUCCCACUCUAUUUUUUGUCGGGACGGAAUAGACUCGAAGCAGAUUAUUUUUUAAUUUUAUUUUUUGCUCCCAUUUACUGCCUCAUUUGAGGUAGAUCGGGGUGGGAGCGAAUUUUUGAUAGAUUGAGACGGAUUGAAGGAAGAAAAGGGUCUCCCACCCCUUACUCCAUUUACUUGGUGGAUUAUGGUGGAUUUAGGACGAAUUAUAAUUUUUUAGUAUUUUUUGUUUCUACUUUACCGCCACAUUCAGAGCGGAUCGGGCGGGAGCUCCACCAACCCGGAUCCAUUUGCAUCCCUAUAUGAGAUAAAGUUUGGGGCUUCUGCCAUUAGCUUUGAAGUAAUAUAUAGGGUUUGUUUUGCAUGUAGCUCCCUCAAAAAGAAAUUUUUCUAAAUAAUUUUAUAAAAUUUAUAUUUGUAAGAUUGGUCUUAUCCCUGCCACAUAAGCAUCAUGCCAUCGCAACGCGAGCAUGGAUGGUUGCAUAGGUUAAAUUGAGCAUGAUGAACCUUUCACCAACACGAUGAAAGGUUCACCAUGUUCCAUUAUUUUUUUACUACGCUAUUACGGAAUAUUUGGGGUUUAAGAUUUAAAAAGGAUACGGUAGAUCAUUCAUCGUAUCCAAAUACAAUAUUUGGGGUUUAGAGUUUAGGAAGGACACGAUGAAUCAUUCAUGAUAUCCAAAUAUGACAAAUGGUUUAUCGUGUUCAAUUUAAUCUAUCGCCACGCCCACGUAGCGCUCGCGUAGCGCUUGCGUGACGGGAAUAGAAUUAAUCUUACAAAUGUAAAUUUUGUAGGGCGAUUUGUGAAAUUUUCUGGGAGAGCUAAAUGCAAAAAAAAGUCCUAAUAUAUAUUCUCUAAAUUAUAUAGCGUAUGGGGAAACAAAAAAAGAAAAAGAAAAAAAGUUGCAAGUUGCAAUUGGUGCGUGCUAGAGAUGUUAACGGAUCGGAUUCGGGGCGGAUUUUUAAAAAUCCGAACCCGAACCCGACUCCAAACCUGAGACCCGAACCCGAACCCGAACCCGACGGAUUUUAAAAAUCCAUAUCCAAAUCCGAACCCGACCAAAAAUUUGAAACCUGAACCCGGAUCCGAACCCAAAAAUUUGAAUCCGAAACAAUUAUUUCUUUUUUCAAUAUUUCAAAAUAUAUUAUAUUAAAUCUAAAUUUCUAAAAUACAAAUUCAAAUAUAACAUCAAAUAUAUAUAUAUAUAUAUUAUAUAAUACAAAAUAAAUUCGGGCUCGGUUCGAAUUCGGGUCGGGUUCGGGUUCGGGUCGGGUACAAUCAAAAUUCAUAUCCGAAUCCAUAUAUCCGUCGGGUUUCUAUUUUUGAUAUCCAUAUUCGAAUCCAUAUCCAUAUCCAUCGGAUAUAUCCGUUUUAUUCGGAUUCGGAUUCGGAUAAAAUUUCAGAUAUCCAUACCCAUUGACAACGGUCCCUAGUGCGUGCAAUGAUGAUUGAAACCUUGUUGAGAACCCUCAACGAUAUAGUAUUUUGAAAUAGGCCCUCAACAUUUUGCCAUUGCCCCCAUUAACUUCUAUAUUUUUCUUUUCAUUUGAAUCAUUCCAGUUUGUUAGGAUUAAAACAAUAUUAAAUUUUUUUACUAGCUAUUAUUCUUUAGUUUUCAAGUUUUUAUUUGCUAAAGAAUAAAUAAAAUUUUUAAUAUGAUGAUUAAUAUAUUUGAUAAUAUUGUCAAUUUAUUUGAUUAAAUUUUCUUAAUUUUAACGAAUGAUUAAAUUGUCUUAAUUUUAACGAAAAUAAAAAUUACAAAAAAUUCAGUCAAAACAAAAUAAAAUUGAUGGUCAUCUUAAAACCAUCUGUAGUCUCUAUAUAUUUUUAUUUGGAAUGAUUCUUAUUUCAAUCCUAAAAUAGUGGCAUGGAAUGGAAAAGUGUUUAAAAAUUACCUAUGUAUCACGGACACUUCUAUAAGCCUCGCGUGUUCGUGUCGGACACGUAUGUGUCCGAUGUGGACACUUCUCGGACGUCCGUUAAAUGUAGGGGUGGCAAUCCAGCUCGCUGUUCGUGAGCCGGCUCGUGUUCGGCUCGAAAUGAGCUCGAGAUCAAAUCGCUCGUUUAGUAAACGAGCUGAACACGAGCUGAAUUUUUCGGCUGGUUUAAUAAACGAGCCGAACACAAGCUGGGGUCAGCUCGCUCGUGUUCGGCUCGAUAACAGCUCGAAUACAUAUAUUUAAUAUUUAUAUAUCAAUAAAUAAUUAUACUAUUAAUAUACUUAUUUAUUAUUUAAUUUUUAACAAAAAAAAAAUAUAAAUGCGUGCUUAAUUAUAAAAAAGACUCAUUAUAUGUAAAGUUCAACUAUUACAUCAAAGUCUAAUGAAUAAGAUUUUAUAAAUUUACUUUUUAUAUAUAUUUAAUUAAUCUUUUUUUUUUAUUGUUGUUAGCCGGCUCGUGUUCGGUCCGUUAAUAAAUGAGUCAAACCGAGCUGAAUUUUUUCAGUCGAUACUUUAGCGAGCCAGCUCGUGUUCGGCUCGUUAAUAAACGAGCCGAACACGAGCUGGAUUUUUCGGCUCGAUACUUUAGCGAGCCAGCUCGUGUUCGGCUCGUUUACACCCCUAGUUAAAUGCCAACCCAUAGCGCAUAUAAGUAAAAAAAAUAUAGACCUAUUUUUAUUUUAUUUUUUCUAUACAUAUGUAAUUAAUGCACGAUAAUAAAUAUUUUAGUUUUUUAAUAAAUGCAUAUAAUUUUUUUUGAGAAUAUAAAUAAAUUAUAUUUGGUGGAGAUUUUUUUUUCUUAAAAUAUAUGAACUAUCAAUGAAAAUUUUACUAACUUUCAUUUGUAUGACAAAUAUAACAAUAUUUUACCAAAAUUAAUAUUUUAUAUAUAAUCAAAAUAUAUUAUUAUAUUAAUAAUAUUAUAUUUUAUUAGCGGUGUUCAUGUCGUGUCCGUGUCUUAAUUUUUUGAAAGUUGUCGAGUCACGGUAUCCGAGUCGUGUCGUGUCCCGUGUCCCGUGUCAUUGUCCGUGACGUCUAGAAAAUUACUAAUUUUAACAUGAAAAAGAAAAGUGAUCUGAUAACCAAGUGACUCUUUGAAUGACAAAUUUCUCCUUAACAAAUCAAUGGAUGAAGUAAUUCCUCUUAUUAUAGAGAAAACGAAUGGAAGCAAAACUCGUUAGAAAUAUCUAAAUAUCAAAUUUUAUGAUUUUUAAUAAUAUAUAUUUAGUGAUCGAAUGGUCUCGAAAUUAACAAAUUUUAUGACAGAUGUGAUAUAUAUGUUAGCUUAAUGUUAUAAAAUAAUUCUUAUCACAUAGAAUUUUGAGAGAAAGUUUUGAUACGUACUUCUGAUAUAAUUAAGACUCAAUUUGAGUCUUAUAUCAUCAAUUUUUUUAUUAUUUUUUAUGAUAUUUUUAUUUGCAAUUAUUUAUUUGGAAACCACUCGUUCAUCAGGUAAGUGAUUCGCGUGCUCCACUAAAGAUACGAAAUUUUGGAUCACAUUGUAAAAUAUUUUAACCACUUAGUACCUUUAUACGAUUAGCUAUUGAUUUGCUUACGUUAACUACUAAUAAGAUCCUAUAAUAAUCUUACAACUCACACGUCUCCACUUAACUUUAUUAGAUUAAUAAUAGACAUAAUUACAUAUUAAUUAUACAUAUGAUUGGUAUCUGAAGUUUAAGUUCGAAACUUAAUUGCUUUAUAUUAUUAGCUAAGUUCAUUUCUAAAGAACGAACGAAGCAGGUAGCUCAUUUAUCUUCCUCUCAGAAAACGGAAGAACGUAAUAAAAUUUGUAUAUUUUUAUAAAAAGUUGAUAAAAUAUUAUUGUUACAAAAUCUUUAUAGCUUCUUAGUAUAACGUACUAGGUACAGGAAAAACAUCACAUUUAUUUAAUCAUAAAAUUAAAGUGCCGCGUGCUAAGGUUGAUGUGACCAUUUAAUCUUAGGAAUCAUACAUGUCAUAUGUAUGUUAGGGCUAAAAUGCUCACUCCAUAUGACCCAAAAAAAAAAAAAAGAAAAAAAAGAAAGAUUCAGAUACAGAGAACAAACUAUAAUUAGACGCAUUAAGAGAUUUGUUUUUUUUUUUCUUUUGGAAAGAAAAUGAGAUCAGGGAUUUGAGUGCAUGCCAAACAAUGAAAAAUACAUGAACGAAUUAAAUUUGCUCAAGUGAUCAAUUGUUUAACGUUAUCAUUUUGCCUUUGACUUUGCUCUGAACCGUCCAUAAAUUAAUAUUUAAUAAAAAAGUUUUAAAUAUUUUGCUGUAAUAAAAAGGCUAUUAAGAUUCGGAGCAUCAAAAGGAUCUAUUAAUUUGGUACCGAAGAUUAUAAAACUAGCUAUUAGAUUACAAAGAGUUAGAACAAAAAUAUAUAGAAAUUUAUUAAAUCCUACAUUUUCUGAUGGGAUUCACUAUAAUAAAAACGGUCUAUAAUGACACUUUUAAAUGUAGGUACAUGUCAAAAAAGUGCUGCUAGCUAAAAUUACCGACACUUUUAAAAAGUGUUGCUAUAUGUGGGGUCGCUAGGUAUAUAGUGACAGUUAAAGAGUGUCGCUAUAAUCUAAAAGAGUGCUGCUAAUUUACCAAUACUUAUUUAAGCAUUUAGCAACAGCCGAAACUCUAUCUCGUUGGCUGCGGUGGCGGAGGAAGACGACAGGAAACGCUCUUCGUCUAGAAUUUCAGUGGAUUGAGUGAAGAGAGAAGAAAAGAUGGUAAUUGAAUUUUCUUUUUUUUUUUUCUUUUCUAUUUGUAAUCGGGCCAAAUGGACUGGGUGUGGUGGGUUGAAUAGAGUAAUAUUUUAUUUUUUGUUGGAUUGAGCUUUAUAUUUAGGCAUUAGUAGAUAUUUUUUUAAGUUUAAAAUAAAUGGGACACUUACUCAAAAGUGUCCCAAACAUGUGUCCCUAUAACCUAAUUCUGUUGUAGUGAUUAUAUAAAUUAGGCACGAUAACCAAGCAAGUUAUUGCCGUAUAUAAAAUAUGACAUCUUUUUGUCGUACUUAAUUUCACAUAAUUCAUAAUGCAUAAUGCAUUCUUCUUACAAUUCCACACUGAGCGAAAAAUAAGAGUCCUAAUUAUAUUUUAACUUAUUGUGAGUUUCCGAUGUAUAACGUAACUUAGACGAUACUAAAUUUGUGUACAACAUUAGAGAUUAAACUACACUAUAGCUUUACUUGAGAUUAUAAGCAAAAUACGUUAUGUACAUUUAGAGAAUGCAUGCAAUAAAAAAAAUUAUUAUAUAUAAUGUAUUCUCCCUACAAUUUCAAACGCAGCCAAAAGUAAAAGUUCUAAUAUUUAACUUGCAUGUUGUGAGUUAGUUUCCGAUGUAUAACUUAACUUACGCAAUUAAUACUAAAUUUUGUGUACAACAUUAAAGCUUAAACUAUCUUACGUACUAGGGUUGUCAAUGGGUAUGGAUACCCGAAAUUUUAUCCGAAUCCGAAUCCGAAUGAAACGGAUAUAUUCGAUGGAUAUAGAUAUGGAUUCGGAUAUAGAUAUAAAAAAUAGAAAUCCGACGGAUAUGGAUUCGGAUUUGAAUUAUACCCGACCCGAACCCGAACCCGAACCCGAUCCGAACCUGAAUUUAUUUUGUAUUAUAUAUAAUAUAUAUAUAAAAAUUUGAUGUUACAUUUGAAUUUAUAUUUUAAAAAUUUAAAUUUAAUAUAAUAUAUUUUAAAAUAUUGAAAAAUAAAUAAGGGUAUGGAUUUUUAAAAUCCGUCGGGUUUAGGUUCGGGUUCGGAUCUCGGGUUUGGAGUCGGGUUCGGAUUCGGAUUUUUAAAAAUUCGCCCCGAAUUCGACCCGUUGACCUCUACAACGUACAGCUUUACUCGAGAUUACAAAUAGAAUACGCUACGUACAGUUAGAAAAUACGAUAAAAAAUUAUCCCCUUUUGUUUCACCACAAACUCCUGAGGAGCGUAUCUCCACACGUGUACUCUCCAACUCUUCUUUUUUUUAACCCAACAACAUCAGUGGUAUACUAGUACCAUCAUGAAAAGUACAUAAUCCAACCACACUCAUUAAAUGUUUAUUCUAUACCUAAGUAUAUAUGUAUCUUUAUAUAUAUAUAUAUAAUUAUCAAGUGUAUAAAUCUAUUGCACGCGCCUAAAAGUGCAUGCCAUGCAUGUACAUAUAUUAUCGAUCUUAGUACAUACCUGUAGGCAACAUAGCUAAAGAGUUCCCUACACGCGUAUCUCUCUUUUUCCAUGCCAAAUAGAGACAAUUUGGUGAAAAUGGUGCAUCCACAGGAACCUAAUCCUGAUCCUAGUUAUCUCCCAUUAAUUAAAUUAAAUUGACCCAAAAGUGACACCCCUCUUUAAUGCAUUGCUUGCCCUAGAAGCUCUACCCAACUCCUACACCCCUUGAUCACAGGACACAUAGCAGUUGCAACAAUUACUAGUAUACCAAGUCAUUGGAGGGGGGGAAAGUGAGAGCUUUUGUGUUAGUGGCUGCAGCAAUCAAGCAAUAGCUCUUUAGUUGAGAAGCCAAUUAGAUUAAGGUUAAGCAACAUGACAAGCUUUGUUAACGCCGGGGUUUAGUUGAUUAAUGGUUCUUUAAUUGCUUUUUAGUGCUGCUUUGCUAGCUGUAACCUAUGAUGUCCCUGAGAGAACGGAAGGUUAUGUUUUUUUAGGGUUUGUUUAUUUCUAGGGGCGGAGCCUGAGCUUUCGAGCGGCAGGGGCGCGACUGACAGAUGUACAAUAUUGUAACACACUAAUGUUAUCUAUCAUGUAUAUGUAUACAAUUAAUGUUGUCUAUGCUACAACCAAUAUUCAACAAGAUAACAUUUCAAUAUAGGAGCACAUUGUAGCCAAUAAAUGAGAUACAGAGAUUGAAUGAGCAAUAGUACAGGAAAAUAGAGUAUAUACAUAUAUUUAGUAUUCAAUGUGUAUUAAUUAAACAAUUCAAAAAAGUAUAUAUAUUUUAACUUCAUCGAUCUCUCACUUUUAUAGUUGAAACUAGUUAGUGAUAUAAUGACAAUACAGUUACUUCUGGCACAUGAUCUUACUUUUGUUUCUGUUUUUAGGGAUUAGUAUUUAACAAAGUUUUUUUAAAAAAAUCCUAAAGAUUAUGUUAAUUUAGUGAACUAAAAUAGGAUUAUAGCCUUAAAAAUGAGAGCUAUAUAUAAUUUCAUAUUCAUGGAUUUGCUCCGAAACGGCAAUAUGAACAUCUAAAUAUAUAUAUAGUGCAUUUUCUUAUAGCAGUAUUUAAACAGCACCUUCGGACUUACUUUUUUGGUUACUUGAUAAUAUGUGAAAUGGUCAAAGUAGUAGAUCUAACGAUGAAAAACUUCGUAGUACCAAGUAUUUGGUGCUAUUAAUAGUAUAGUAGUUUGGACUAUAUAUAUAUGUAUAUAUAUUAUAGAAGCAAUUGGUUAUAUACCCUUGAAGUUUCCGACUUUCCGAUUUACCCCUCUUAGAAAGCUAAUAUUAAUGAAAAUACCUUUUUUAUGUUUUAACCUAUUUCUAAUAUACCCAUAGAGUUAAAAUCUGUUAAUAAACUCUGUUAUCUCUGUAAAAUUACUAUUGUGCCCUUUCAAAUAUACCCUUCCACCAUCAGCGACUUUCUUAUUUGCCCUUGAAGUCAGGGGCACAAAAAGUAUUUGACUUUUGGUUUUUUCAAAUGUACCCUUUUACCGUCACCAACAUUUCUUAUUUGCCCUUGAGUAAAGGGCAAAAUUGGCAUUUUAAUUUUUUUUAACUGUAGUAGAUAUUUAACUCACGUUUAACCUAAGUUAAUUUAACAGGGGAUAACUGCGGGGGUAUUUUGUAAUAACGGUAGAACAUAUGAAGGGUAUUUUAGAAAAAAAAAAGAAGUAGGAAUAAAUCGGAUAUUUUCAAACAUAUGAGAGGUGUAUAGACAAUUAUCCCUAUAUUAUAUAUAUAAAAGGAGGCGUAAAAAAGCUGUAUUGAAUAACAUUAUCUCUAAAAAGUAAUGCCCACACUCAUAAAUUCUCCUUUGGAGCUUCUCUUGAACUAUGCAGCAUAUUUACUUUUUUUUUGAGAGAAAAGCAGCAUGUUGUACACUUCAUUCAUAUAGGAAAUGAAUUCAGCUAUAAGAGUUGAGGCAACUCAGCCUCGAAAAAAUUAAAGGCAAUCGCAAAAAAAAGAAAAGAAAAAAAUAGCCAAUCACUUAGAGUUGCAGAACUCAACCUACUUCCUCUCCCCGUCCCGAAUUCAUCUACUAGUGAUUGGGGGAUCUGAAGAUUAGUUUCUAGAAAUUACGUUACUUCUUUCUCGGCAGAUCAUCCACCAACAAGCUGCAACCUUUGUCAAUUCUUUCGCUGAUGCCCUUUGAGAGUGAUUCUUAGUCACAAAUUCUCUGACACACCUGGCCUCCACUAUAGACCCCACCGUGUAGUUCAUAUGAGGAAUUACUAGUUGAGAUUAGGGGAUCUGAAGAUUGGUUUUUAGAAAUUACGCUAUUUCUUUCUCGCCAGAGCAUCCACCAACAAAUUGCAACCUUUGUCAAAUCUUUCGCUGAUGCCCCUUGAGAGUGAUUCUUAGACAAAAACACUCUGACACACCUGGCCUCCACUAUAGACCCCACCAUGCAGUUCAUAUGAAGAAUUACUAGUUCUUUUUUUCGCCAAAAAAAAAAAAGCUUUGUUUUUAGUUCUUCUUUGUCGAGUACAUAUUAUGCCGUAAGAUUUGGACGAUUGCAGCAUGUGUCCUAAUAGAACGACAUGAAGAACAUUAUUUUUAGGUAAGAAUAUUCGGCUUACACAGAGCUUCAGUAAAAAUAUGCUGCUUGAAUAAAACUAUUCGGAAAUUUAUCUUUUCUCUUCUAAUUUAUACGCCAGCACUAAUACUUUUUUUUCACGAAGAAUCUUGUACAUACCCAGCUUUUGGUGCUCCAUGCCAGCUGCGACCUAUGUUGCAAGAAAAGGACAAGAGAGUCAGGAGACAUGAAGAAGAGAUUACGUUUUAGGGCUUGUUUAGCUCAUCUUACAACUUUUACAAAAAAGCACUACUAUUUAAAAAGAACUAGAAGUACUAUUGGAAAACACUCGUACAAUAAUAAUCAUUAAAGUACUCUUCAAUAAUACUCCUCUUUUGUAUAGUUUGUAAUAUGAUCAGGAGUUUUGAAUUUGAGCUUCUACUUAUAAUUCUAAAUUACUUGCUUGUUUUACUCUCUCGGUAAAAUAAGUAGGUUAGGAUGUUAUCUAGCAAGCAUUGGACAACCGCUUAUUAAAGUAGGAAAGAAAAAGCUAUGGUCAAGCGACUCCGGAAGCUAGAAGAUCAAUACGAGAAAUGUACUUUUUAGGGUUGGCCAAUUUGACCUACUAGGAGCUUCUGGAGAAACAAUAUCUGAGCACAGGUACAUAAAAAAAGUACUAACAAUUUUCUUACAAAAAGUUCCUUCGAUAACAUUCCGUAUUUGUGAGUUCUGCAAUAAAAUAUGUAUAGGAGUCUUAAAAUUGGCUCGAAAAAUAACUUUAUAUACUAAUAAAUAAAGAUUUCUUAUUUUUUUUUUUAUUUUUGUGAUUGCAGUCAAGGAGUUUGAUUUCAUUCCUUGAAAGAUUCUGACAUCCAUAACUUGUCCGUAUACAGCUACAUCAAAUAAUUAACUAUUACUUUUAGAGAAGAAAACAGAAUUUCAAAUAAAAUUGCGCCAAAUUAUGGGCCAAAAAUCAUUAAUUAACCAGCAAUCAUUAAGCGCGUCUUUUUCUACGCAUUAAUUGUGGUGUACAAUUGUGCUUAGUGUGCGGUCUGCUUGGCAUACAUUUAUAGAUGCAGUACUAUGACCUACAGCAAUGAGCUUUCAACAGAGUCUACAACACUCUUUUUAAGUCACACAGUUUUUCUCCCGUGCAAUACAGUUUGAUAGAAAUCUGAUUACAUACUACAAUAAAAUAUAUUUUAGACGAUAUUUUAUUCCAGCAUCUUUAAUAUUUGGCAUGUGUUGAUAUCAUAAUUAAGCAUCACUAAUAAAUAUACUCGACGCAUGUCGAUAUAUUUAUUUCAACAUAUUUACUUAAACGAUUCUUUACUCGACGUUUUUAUAAACAUUAGGCUUAUUUUUGCCGAUGCUUUAGAACAUUGCCAAUUUUUAUUUAAAGUGCCCUUAAAUAUAAGAUUUGUUAUACGGAUACGUUGAUGCCAGUUGUUAGGAUAAAAAUAGAGCCAACGUGAAAGCAAGGGUGUAGGUUAAUUGGGCUAUAAAGAGAGAGAGAGAGAGAGGGAAAAUGAUUUGACCAUGAUUUGACUGAGGGGGGGAUAGCCAUUGAUUUGGCGGCUGAGAUUUGAGGUGGGAGGGUGUGGACGGGAGCGGAUCACGUUACACGUGACGAUGCGUGACAAGUCUCUAAAUCCGGGGUUAAAUUUGACCCCCCAAUUACGUACGUUCACAUUCCCCACCUCUUUGGGGUUACAUCAACCCCUUGCAAAAGUUUCACGCAUAUCUCAAUUUUAUUGUGUUGAAUGCUUUUGAUCAGGGUAAUUAUGUUUAGGUAAAGCGAGAUAGACGCGGACAUGCCAUGAUUGUUACUGUUAAUUACCUAACAUGUGUGAUACGACUGGUUAGGAAGUAACUCGAACGUAAUAAAAAAAAUAUAUAUUAUCAUUAACAAAAACUUUUUUACUAUAUAUAUAUAUAUAUAUAUAUAUAUAUAGAAUUAUGCUACUAUACUACCAAUAGUACCAACCCCUUGGUACUAUUGAGUUUUUAGCCGUUGGAUGAAAGGAUGUGCGGUUAGGAUGAUAGUGGUCCCCUAGGGUUGAGUGGGUGGUUGGUUUACUAGUAUAAUCUAACAGGUGGAAGUGAUCAAUAGGUAGAUCUAACGGUAGAAAAUUCAAUAGUACCAAGGGCUUGGUACAAUCGAUAGUAUAGUAGCCGGACUCUCUCUCUCUCUCUCUCUCUCUCUNAUAUAUAUAUAUAUAUAUAUAUAUAUAUAUUUAAGUACUUAUGGGUAACUCGGUAUUAAGAAGACCAUUCAAAGUUACGCGUUCUAAGCAAUGCUUCAAAAUCAUUUUGACUCGGCUAGUUUGACUGCUUGGAUUGUAGAGUGGUUUUCUUAUGGAAAAACUGCAAAACCCCCCGUGGUUUCGCAUUUUCUCACCUUAGUACCUUGUGGUUUUAUUUUUAUCUUUCCGACAGCUUUUUCGUUAAUAUUUCGUUAAAUUAUAUACAAAAAACUUCAGAUACCCAUCUAGGUUUAUCGAAUAUUCACUUUAGUAUUCUUUAAUUUUAACUUUGUCACUGAUUUAAGAAAAAAAUAGUAAAAUUAAUAAUAAAAGGAGAAAAUGAAACCACAGGGUACUAAAUUGAUGCACUUUAAACCACAUGGUACUAAAGUGAAAAAGUGCGAAACCAUAGAAGGGUUUUUGAAGUUUCCCUUUUUCUAUGGAAAAACUUCAAAUACUACCCUCGUGGCUUCGCACUUUUUCAUUUUAAUACUCUGUGGUUUAAAGUGUAUUAGUUUAGUAUCCUGGAGUUUCGUACUUUCCCACUUUAGUAUUCUGUAGUUUAAAAUGCAUCGAUUUAGUACCAUGUGGUUUCAUUUUUCUCUUUUCGUCUGCUCUUCUGUUAAUAUUUUGUUAAAUUAUAUACAAAAAACUUCAGAUAGCCUACCUAGAUUUAUCGAAUAUUUACUUUAAUACCCUUUAGUUUUAAUUUUGUUACUGAUUUUUUUUCCUCCGAUAAUAUUUCUUUAAAUAAUAUACAAAAAACUUCAAAUAUCUUAUCUAGAUUUAUCGAAUAUUCACUUUAGUACCCUUUAAUUUUAAUUUUGUUACUGAUUUAACGAAAAAAAAUUAAUUGAUAAUCAAAAAAGAAAAAUGAAACCACAUGGUACUAAUUUGAUACGCUUUAAACCACAAGAAGUACUAAAGUGAGAAAGUGCGAAACCAUUGGAACUAACUUGAUAUACUUUAAACCGUAUGGUACUAAAGUGAGAAAAUAUGAAACCACAUGGGGUAUUUGAAGUUUACCCUUUUUCUAUUUUCGGUCGAAGCAUAAAAUCGAUGGUUAAUUGGCUUAAAAACUCACUUUUGACCUGCUCAAAUAGGUAGUUAAACUAGUAAAUUUGUGAUUAUUGAUCUUUGGUUAAUUAUGUGGCCUAGAACAUUUAAUGAAUUUUGUGAAGCUUCUAAAACUCUCAUAUAGCUGGCCUAAUUAAGUUACUUUUUCCUCAUGUAAUAUAGCUGGCCAAAAGUUACUUUUUCCUAAUGCAAUAUAGCUGGCCUAAGUUACUUUUUCCUCUCUCCAAUAUUCUAUUGUUUUAUAUUUAAUUAUAAUUAUAUUAUUUACUAUUUUAAUAUAUAUAUAUAUAAACAAAAUUAAUAAUUUAUAAUGACACCAUAGGAUCGAUGAACAUGUUUAAUCACUGGUUGAAGCAGUGAAUUCUGAACCAACACAAGUGGUGUUUGAUAUUGGUUCUAUGUAUUUACCUAUAUUAUACAAUUCUUUUUCUUUUUCUUUUUUUUGAGAGAUAGGUAGCAUGUAAAGAUGUCUGUGGACCGGGUCGGGUCUGGAUAAUUAAUAUACUGUACUCAUACCCUAAAAAGAAUGGUUAUAAAAAAAUUUAUAUACCCUACCCAUUUAACUUCGGGUCGGAUCCGGAUCUGGGUACUAAAGUUACUAAUAUACCCAUCGGGUCUAUUUGAGCGGGUCUGGGUAGUGACUACCCGUAUACUACCCGUUCAAGACCGGAUAUGGAUCGGGUUUAGAUCGGGUACAGAUAUCCGUAUUAAUAUAUUUUUUUUAUAAACUUUAUUAAAUAGUCAAUAGACAAACUAUAAAGCCCACCAUAAAAAAACUCGCAUUCUAAUAAAUUGUACCGUCCAAUAAAAUUCAUUCAAAAGAAAUAUUGUCGCUGAUGAUGAUGAUGACACUGAUGAUGAUGAUGACAAUGAAAUAUUGUUGGCGGAAAUGAAAUGAAAAAAAAAGGAGUAGAAAACAAAGAGUAAAAAAAUUAGAAAAAAGUAAUGAGUAAAAGAGACGGCUAGGGUUUCAUUAGGAUGAAAAUACGUAGUGACUCAUCAUUUAUAAAUCAUAUUAAAAUUGAUCCUUCAACUUCAAAAGUUUAUUUUUUUUUUAUUUACUAUCGGAUAUUUCAUCGGGUCCGGGUCCGGGUUCGGAUUUGAAAACUAUUCCGGACCCUACCCGUUUAAAAGUUAGGUUCGGGUCUGGUCCAAAUCGGGUAUGGGUAUAAAAUAUCCGGACCCAUACCCGAAACUUUAAUGGGUAAUUUUUUUUAUCCGUAUACUAUUCAUUUUUUAUCGGGUCCGGUUCGGAUUCGGUUCGGGUCCGGAUAGGGUCCGGAUCGGGGGAUAUCGAUAUUUUGGACACCUUUAGUAGCAUGCUACCUGCUUCGUUUAUUUCAUUUAGAAAUAAAUUUAGCUGGAAAUGUGAACCAACUAGGAUUCGAACUUGGGUCUCGGGUACCGACCACCAAGCCCUUUGCCACCAACAUAUAUAAUAUAUGUAUAGAGUAGAACUACUAUACUAUCGAAAGUAUAGAGAAUUUGGUGUUUUCUAUUUUUUGGCUCUUAGAUCAGCCCCUUUAAUCAUCUCUAAUGUUUGGAUUAAUACUAUUACCCUAUAGGGACCACUCAAUCCUAGGGAUACUAUUCAACUCUAUGGGAGAUCGUAAUCAUUUCAACCGUACAAUUUUUUAUCUAAAGGUCAAAAAGUCGGAUGCAUUAAAUUCUCUAUAUUUCCUAUAGCAUAGUAGCUCUAUACAUAUAUUGAUAGCAUUAAGCUCUUGAUAUUAUCGAGUUUUCCGCCGUUAGAUUUACCAUUUGAUCAUUUCCACCCAUUAGAUUAUACUAUUCAACCAAUCACUCACUCAAUCCUAGGGAAGCAUUAUCAUCCUAACCGCACAUCUUUUCAUCCAACGGCCGAAAACUCGAUCGCACCAACUGCUUGGUACUAUUGAUAGUAUAGUAACAUAAUUAUAUAUAUACACACACGCAUAGAAUCAACUAUUAAGUAGCUAUUGGUUUUUUUUUUUUUUUAACCAUUCCCUAUUUCAACAAGCGAAAUCGACAAAUCAGUAGCAACUGUAAAAUGUUUGUACAAAACUAAAUGUUGUUAAAAAAUUUAAGGAACAAAGCAAUAAUAAUAUAUUCCAAAACCCAAACAGUUGCUUCCAUAAAAGCUCUAGUAUCCAACUUAAUUAAUGAAACAGACAUCAACAGUAAAUAAUUAAAAAAAUGCUGUAAAAAGCACUUAUAGGAAUUAAUGACUAUGAUGAUAUCACCAUUUACAACCCCAAGAAUAGAAAUAUAUAUAUACAUAUAUAUAUAUAUAAUAAAUUAGAAAACUACUUAAAAUGGUCUCUUGUAGCUUUCAAUAAGCCAAUGAUAGGGUCUAGAAGAAUAUAACCAUAACUAGCAAUUAUGAAUUGCAAUAAUCAUUUGAGUGUACAUCGAAAUUUCAAUAAUGAGACAAUCUAAUUCACCAUUCACACAUUUCAAAAUCCGAGCAUUAAUGAUGGAUGGCAUGUUAAUCAAAUUGUCACGCUGUGAUUAAAGAGGUUUCCUGCAUAUAUAUAUAUAAGUCACACUCAUACAUGAGGAGAUAACUUAGUGAACAAAACUUAAUUAUAUGGGGACCCGGUUCGCCUACUUUACUGUUCAUGUUGCUUUAAAAUUCGAGCGCUAAAUGUGAUGGGUGGCGGAUUAGAUCGCCUAAUUGUAUGAUGAGUCUCAUAUAUGUUUUUUCUUUUCAUUUCUUUUCACAACUGUUGGACACAGAACGAUUUUCUGUGUAAUCCAUUAAGAAUAUGUUUGGAUACUGUGGGAUUUUAUUGCAGAGCAAUAAUAUAUAUACCCAGUGGGGCUACUGCACUAUUCAUGUUGUUUUAAAAUUCGAGCGCUGUAAGUGAUGAGUGGUAGAUUUAAAUCGCUCACCUGUAUGAUGAGUCUCAUAUAUUUCAUUUAUUUUUGUAACUGUAGGACACAGGAUGAUUUUCUGUGUAAUUCAUUAAGGAUCUAUUUGGAUACUCCUUGGGGUUUUAUUGAAGAGCAAUAAUAUACUAUAGUAUGUGGAUGGUGGAUUCCAACUCCGAGCUCCUUUCACAAAACAACAAAAAACUUAUAAUAAUACAAUAAAAUUUUGGUGAUAUAGUUCAAGCAUAUCCUAAUGAAGUACAUGAAUAUAGAGUUCUAGACUUUUUUUUCUUUGUUUUGUAAAUAAUCUUACAAAAAAAAUUAAUUUUCUUUCAAAAAAAAUUAAUUUUUUUAAAAUUUUAUCUAGGCAGAUAUAUAAUUCUCGACACGUAAGUCAUAAGAUGAUAUAUAGAUCGUUCGUCACUUACAUAAUGAAUUAUCUAAAGAGGGUGAACCAUUCUGAUCGAUCUUUAAAGAAUGAUAAAUCAUUCACUGUUUACUUUUUAAAAAUGUGAGACAUCGCAAACGCUUUAGCUACCUGACACGUCUACGUGGCAAUGGCGUGGCACGGCAAUAAGAUUAUUCACCCAAAGAUAUUAAUUAUUUAUCCGAAUUAGUUCAAAUUUUUCAUAAAUUCAUUUUCUCCCCCCAAAAAAAACAAAAAAAAAAAAAAAUCUCUUUGGUACACUCCUAUACAUGAUAUACAUAUAUCAACUCCCCACACCACACAAAAUAUGGCUGGCUCUGGAGCUGGACAUUUGGACGGCGGAGAUUCGCCGAGGCUCCGUAACGUGUUGCCAAUCUCCUUUUGAUCGAGUUGGUAGUUGGACUAUGAAUAGUUUUGGCUUUAAGCUUUGAUGGCCAUAUAAUAACAAGUGUUACACACAUGCUAUUGCAUGUGUUGUGGCUCGUUUAUACGUGUCCAAGAUCAACGGUCUCAAACGCUUUUGCGGUGUAACACACACACACACCAUGCAUAGUGCGAUGGGGGGGGUGCACCCACAAAGUCUAAGAGGAUAUGAUUAGAAAGGGUGAGAUGAGACGCCAAGUUUUUAGCACAAUUAUUAAAGACAAUAAUUAAUAAUGCUGGCUCACACAACAUGCAUGUUGUAUAUACCAUGUAUAUUCUUUUGGCCACCUUUGUAAUUUUUUUUUUUCUUUUUUUCUCUUUUUGUGUGAGGGAGCUAUAAAUAGGGGGGCUUGUGAGGUUCCAAGGUAGUAGUGGACAGAGUAAGCUUGGGUUCUCAUCCACUCUCUCUCUCUCUCUCUCUCUCUCUCUCUCCUUUGCCAAAUUAGUGUCUUAAGGCCCCAGUGCUUAAGGAUGUUGGUCAUAAGAAUUGAGAACCCAUUGGCCACUGGAGUGGGUCUUAUAGGUGAUGAUUCUCUCUCUCCUCUUCUCUCUCUCCGUCGUAAAAAAAAAAAAAAAAAAAAAAUUACGAGAGAUCGAAUCGAUCGUCUUCUGAGACGCAGCUCUCCUUUUCUGAAAAUUGUAUUUCAUUCUGCGAUGCUUUAAAAGUUUGUGUGGAGUAACGACAUGCUCGAUGCAAAUAUGCUCUCUCUCUCUCUCUCUCUCUCUCUGAGAGAAAAGUUACAAGUAAUACUAUGCUUUGAGAGAAAAGCUACGAGUAAUACUAUGCUUUAAAAACUUACUCAUGCGGGUAUAUAUAUAUAUAUAUAUAUAUAUAUAUAUAUAUAUAUAUAUAUAUAUAUAUAUGUUUCACUGACGCGUGUUCACGAAUCACGAAGUUAAUAAGCUUAUAUAUAAGUUGGUUUUGUAAGCGUAGUGUUACUCAAAAAGUUUACAGGAUCUAUAUAUCUUCAUGAUAAUAUCGCAGCAAUGUGAUCGAUGAUCUUAACACAAUCUUGUUGUGAAAUAAUGCAGGCAACGUACUAUCGUUCUUGGUUAUCCUCGCACCAUUGUAAGCAACUCUUUUGCUUCAAACUCCUCUCUCCAAUCCGUACAUAAUAAACCUUACUCACAAAUGAAGAGAUGAGAUGACCAAACUAUAUGUUUUUCUCUCGUAUCUUCGCUUUCGCAGGCCGACGUUCUACAGGGUGUACAAGAAGAAGUCGACGGAGGGGUUCCACUCAACGCCCUACGUGGUGGCGCUGUUCAGCGCCAUGCUGUGGUUCUACUAUGCGCUGCUCACGACCGACGUGCUGCUGUUCACCAUCAACGCCCUCGGUAGCGUCAUCGAAUCGAUCUACCUCGUGAUGUACAUCGCUUACGCGCACAAGAAAGCCAGGGUACUUCCCCCUUAUUUCUCUCUCUCUCUCUAUUUUUUGCGCGCGUUUUUCUUUUUCUCUUUGUGUUUUACUGAGCUGAUCCUAAGAAACAAAAGUUUCUCACGUAAGAGUGCAAGGCCCCAUAAUAUGGAAGGGGAGAGAGACGCACAAUAAUUAAGGAUUCUCUUUCUCUCUCUUUUGUUAGUUACUUAAUGAACUUGACAACUCAAAGUUACUAGGUAUAUUUAUCAUUCAAACUCUCUUCAAAGAGCCUUUUUAGUGGUCCUCUCUGAUUCCACGUAUAUGCAUCGCUUUUGCGCUUUGCAAAUAAACUUCUAUCUCAUAAAGCAGAAGUUUUAAUUUAAAGCUCUUAAUUUGCUUUAGAAACAACGAAGCAUUUAGUAUCGUUUGUUUGUAGGCAUAAUAUUAGACACCGCAAACGAUUAAACAUAAAGAUUCCAUCAACUUUAUGAUCAAUGGUAAAAUAUUCUAUAAUGUUCUCCUAUUUCCUAAUAGAUAGAAUAGUUUUGCAUACAAAUAUUACAUUAGAGAGGAAUUUACAAAAUUAUUGGUACUUUUCAUAGCAUUACUCUUUGCAUUUAAGUCUUAGUUUUUUGGAGUUCAGAGGAUAAAAGUUCUCGCGCAUUAUUAACCACAAAACAACUUGUGAAAGUCUAAAUCACUCACCAUAGAGUAAUUAUAUAUAUACUAGAGAUAAAGGUUUCUUUUCUCUAUGAGAAAGUGAACAAAAGCAAAAUGGUGAAAUGACCAAGGAAAGCAUGCAUCUUAAAUGUGACUAAACACUCAUCACAAGAUCAAAUCCUCGUUUCUGUACCAAAAAUGGUCCCCUAAAUGGUACACAUAUAGUGCAAAUGUCACUUCUACAUUUCAAAGAAUCUCAGUACCAAACUCAAGAUAAGAUUCUUAAACUAUAUGAGACAUAUUGGAACAGAUUAUUUGAGACAAUAUUAAGAACUAUUCCACUUUUUGUAUCUCGAGCCGCAUUCGAGUACGGAUAUAUAUCUAAAACAGCUAAGUAUGUAACCUACUACAGGUACAGUCAAGUUCAGUAAUCAUGAUAAAUAAAAAGUUUAAGUGUGGGGUCUAAAUGAAAAGAUAUGUCCUACAAAUGCAUGGUAAACUUUUCUUUUGUAAACAGGGAGAAGAUAACAAAAGCAAUAGAGUUUGUCUCAAGAAACUAUUCGUAGAUUUUGGAUUUCUUUUUUUGGCAUUCGGAGGUAGUGAUUUACAGAUGGAAAAUUUGUAUGUAUUCUGGGAUCAGUUCACUCCAAGUUUAAUCAUGUCUCACAGGAUUUUAUGCAGCUUAAAUGUACGGAUAAUUUGAAUACAGUGAGAGAGGAUAAGAAACCCUGUAACACCAUGGGCAUUCACAGUUUUUGUGUCAUAUAAAUGGUUUUAAUGUCUAAUGUUAUAUGAAUACUCAACGACAGUGCGACAAAACUUCAACUAAGAAAACAGGGGAAAUUUCCCUCUUGAUAACAUGAAAUCAUCACUUCUUUUCUGCUAACUAUGUUUCUUCUACUUAUUUUUCUUUUUCUUUUUUGGCAGGCUUUCACAUUGAAGUUAAUAUUACUACUCGACGUGGGUUUCUACGGUUGUGUAGUUCUUAUCACCGUGCUAUUUUUGAGGGGACGGCUGAGAGUUAAAAUCAUGGGGUGGAUCUGCGCCUCCUUUGCCACCGCCGUCUUCAUAGCACCUCUGAGUAUCAUCGUAAGAACCUGCCGUUCGUCUAACCAUAUUUGUUCACUACAAGAGCAGCAAUUUUUUAAAAAAAUGAGCUUUAUAAAAUGGAGGGCAAGUUGAAUUAUCAUCUAAGACAAUGAGAGAAAUAAUUGAGAUCUUCUUAACUAGCAAACUAAACACAUGACAACAUGGAAAAGAGAAAUAACUCUAGAUUCAAGAAGAUUGAUAACAAUACAGACAAAUUAAUAUGCUACUGUGUUGCAGAGACAAGUGAUACGAACCAAAAGCGUCGAAUUCAUGCCGUUUACUCUGUCGUUAUUCCUCACUCUCAGUGCGGUCGCAUGGUUCUGCUACGGCCUCAUGCUGAAAGAUAGCUACAUCGCAGUAAGUUUCCAUAUAUAUGUAUAUUUAGGGUGUCACAGAAUACUUGUUAUAUCCUAUCAUUUAAGAAUUAUUUAUUUUUUAGUUUUUAGUAAAAAAAAAAAAAAAAAAAAAUUGAUACUAUCAUUAGAUUACGCAAUUUUUAUCUUGGCUAGUAGCUAACCAACAUGAUUCAAAUGUGAUUGAAUCAGCUUCCGAAUGUGGUCGGUGUCUUAUUCGGUUUGGCCCAGAUGCUUCUCUAUUUCAUCUACAUGAACGGAAAGAAGGAAACACCAGUAUCAGAAAUUACCGACCAGGACAAGAACCCCGCAACACUAGCAAACCCGAAUGCCGAUAUAGAGAUGAACAAGGAGAGCAUCGGAGUUACGACUCCGGAAGUCGAGAGUUCGAUGUCCGUGGCCGGAAAGAACGAGGCAUAGAGCUACCAAACUAACCUCCUCCUCCACCGCAAACUGACUGACAUUGCAGGAUGUUUUAAGCAGCAUAAGUUUUUUCUUUUUCUUUUUUUUUCCUUUUUAUGUUUCAUUAAGUGCCUUCUAGCUGUGUUCUUGUGUCAGUGACAAGUAGUGAAAAUAAGUAACUCCGUAGAACUCCUGCAUGUCUAGAGCACAAAUAAGGAAUGUAAUUUGUAUCCGCAUGAUAUUUGUGAGCAAUUUAAAUCAGAAUUCUAUACAUUCGGAGAUGCAUGCGAUAUAUGGAGAAAGAUCGAUAUGCAGAUUUUCAACUCACAUCUUAAUCUAGAAUGAAAAAAAGGGGUUUCGCAUAAAUUCUGAUUCUGGCAAAUUCGAUUUUGAUUCCAAACUCAAGAAAACAAGGAACAAAACAGCUUGCAUUUUUAUUAUGAUUCCAAAUAAUCGGACUCUAAUUGACGAGAACACGACUUAAAUUUACUACAAUAAGUUGCUGCUGCCCCUACGCGCGCUGAUACUGAUACCGAAUGAAUCUGGCAAUUAAACAGAAGCAAAAUUUUGACCUGAACAACAAGUAAUUCCAUAGAAGAUAAAAUAAAGUGCACAUUACAAAUGCUGUUUUGUCCUUGCCAACCUCUUUAAACUAAACAAACUACACUAAUUAAUCUUGCACAGACGAAAUUAAUCAGUAAACUUUGUACUAUAGGAAUUACUGAACAAAUCAUGAGAAUCCUAAUUCGAUUAAAUUGCGACACCCCAAUUUUUCUUGAUAAGAAUCAUUCCAUAUGCCAUUCAUGUUUUUCGUUACGUAGUUUUAGUCGAUUAAAUUGAAAAUUUGGUAAAAUUAAUCGACAAUUCGCUCUAAUUUCACAAUUCUGAAUAUUUUGAACGCAAGGAAAUGCCGAAAAGGACAAGUAACUAAAAAACACUAAUUCAAUUGACCAAGUAACUCACAUCAAAACAUAUAUAAGUUGAGGAAGUGCAAAAACAAUAAUAAUAAUAAUAAUAAUAAUAAUAAUAAUAAAGUUUAGAAGCCUAUUUCAAAACCGUGCAUAGUUGAGGGGUCUACAUUCAUUUUUAGCUAAAUAUUUAUAUUAGUUGCUUGCACUGUAGACGGUUCUGAUUCGACUAUCUAAGCUUUAAAAACUUGAUUUUAGCACCCAACAUUUUAAUUUAUUGGAUUUACGUCAUUUGAGGACUCUUAUGAUGCAAAAUUUAAGCUGAUUAUUUAUUUUCAUAAAUUUAUAGUUGAUAAAUUGCAUAAAAUAUGCUGAUUAAGCCUGUAAAGAUAAACGACGCAUUCAAUUUUUGAAGUUAAAAUGUUAUGAACAAAAUUCAACAAAAUUCUCAACUAAAGCAAGCAGAAUUAAAUUACUCAAUUCGAGAAAAUCCAAAAGUUGAAGGUACAUCAAUCAAAAAAUUCAAAGUUGUGGGACCAAUUUCAGAAUAGCAUAAAACUCUUUCCCAUUCGAGAAAGAGAAACCCUAGAGGAGGGAGAACACAUCGAGCGAUCUCAAAGUCCAACAAAAAAUUUAAAAAAUAAAAUAAAAUAAACAUUCACGAUCAAGAGCAAUCAAAGGAAAGAAACAACCAAUCGGAUCCAAACAAAUUACUGGACCAAAAAAAAAAAUGCAAUUGAAAAAAUUAAAAUAAAAAAGAUGAGGAAUUGUACGGACGAACCAUGUGAUCCACGUGGAGAAGAGAUCUGAGGAUAUUUUUAGCAAUAAUAAUAAAUAAAUAUUAAAUUAAAAUUAAGCAAUCGCUUGCUUAGAGAAGAGGAAAAAGAAAAAAAAAAAUUUGAAAGAGAGAGAGAGAGAGAGACAGGGGAUGUGGGGGAAAGCGAUUUUGUAUCACACACGCGAGAUGGUAAAAAUGAUGUCGAACCCCUCAACUAUCCCUUCUUCUGAAACCGCCCUUUUUCCUUUUAUUUUGUUUGAGUGGCUAAAAUUGCACUCCUGGUCCUCACAUUAUGAAGCGAGUGACACUUUGGUCCUCAAAUUUUUAUAAUUCAAAAUAAUGAUGUGACAGUAUCGUGAUUGAUGAUAUAGUAAUAGUUAAGAUAUUAUAUUACCGUCAUUCUAGUAACUGUUUGUUUCACCGAAUUUACAGUUCUUAGUAAAAUAGAUUUCGAGUAAAUUAGAGUUUAUGUAAAAUUACUUUUCUUGCACUAUUUGUUUGUAUGGUUGUGGAACUGAAGUUUUUUUAGUUUUGUUAUUUAUUUGGCAGAAAGUAAAUAAUAUAAAAGCUGAAAGUGUAAGAAAAAGUCUAUAAUUUAAAUUUCAAAAAGAAAAUUUUUAUUUUUAUUUACAUUUGUAAUUCAAAAUGACCUCAAGUGGACCAUUUCCACCCUAGCCAUGGAUCUCCAUUUCUUUUGUAGUUUCCCUACAAUUAAAAGUAAAAAAUUAUUUUUAAUUUCACUGCUUUAAAAAUAUAAGAGAAAUGUAUAUAGACUUUAGUGAACUAUCAAUUAAAUUAUUUUGAAGGGUAAGAUGUUUCGUAGUCUCAAACUAGUAAAUUAUUUUGAAGGGUACAAUGUUUUUUUAGUCUUAUGCUAACUUAGUCAUGUGACUUGGAUUUUUCUGAACAUUUUAUGCUUAAUUUUUUAUUAACACAUCUCUAUUUACUCACUUCUGUUUAAAUAUGCUAAAACAUUUCAAAGAUGAAAUACAUUAUUCUAAUAAAUUGUAAUUAUCAAAACCUACCAAGAGACUAGAAACAAACACUCCUAAUUUAGGAUCACAAGAUAUAUUUUAAUAAUACUUUAUUUAUUGGUAAAAAAAACUUAAUAGUCCCAUAUUGGAUUAUGUGGGAGACUUUAAGACUUCGUUUGGAAUUGCGGGGAGAUUGCGUUACGUGCGGUGAAAAAGUACGUUGGAAAAAUACUCUGUUUGUUUCCGUACGUAAUAUUGCAUUCCGCAUAUUUUCUACGGUCCAACCGGAGAACGUAGAAGCAUACUCCUAUAUGCUUUUUCCUCAACUUUAUUUUAUCUAACAACGUUUGAUAGGCAUCAAUACCAAACUAAGCCAAAGUGCUUUAUACAUGGCAAGAAUUAAUAAUUGGGGUUAAUCAUUUUGGGCCAAUGGUUUGGGCCUAAUGCUAGUGGGCCGGAUAGUUAUAGUUGAUAUCAGAAACAAUUCAGUGAGAUGUGUAAGAUUGGGCUAACUAGAAUGCCGAGCAUUUUGGACCGAUGGUUUAAUCGGGUGCAUCGAGUAAUCAGUGCUAGUAGGCUCAACUCUUUAUUUUCUUAUAAAUUAUUCGAUGUGUGGUUAUUUACGUGUGAGCUCGCACCAACAGACGAUACUUGCUGUAUUUAGUAGAUAAAGAGUGUGAUCGAUUGUCGAGAACUUCCCAAUAGAUGAUGCUUGUUGUAUUUAGUAGAUAAAGAGUGUGAUCGAUUGUCGAGAACUGCAUAUACUGUACUUGGCUUUCAAAGUAAGUUUUUGGAAAUAAGAUAAAACAUUUUGCAAAUGAAAAUAUGCUAUCUUACCGAAUUAUGAAUAUCGAGAUCUUGAUUUCAAAAAGUAAAAAAUCAAACUUUUUACUUCCAAUCCAUAUAUUUUGGCAUGUUAAUAUAUUUUACUUACGAAGUAAUUUCCAUUACUCUGAAAAAAUAACUUAAAAUCCAAAUGUGGCAUAUCAUUCAAGACAUUUAAUCACAACUUUCAUCUACUAAAUAUUAUAAAUUUCUUAAUUAAAUUAAACAGAUAUACUAAAUAAAAUAUCCCGGCAUCCAAAUUAAAUCACAGUAAAUAAAUUAGGGAUAAUAUCUAAUAUAAAUAUACCCAUCAAAACUUUUGAAAUAUUUUAUAUACACCUAUUUAUCUUUUGAUUUCAAAUAUGUCUCUCAUAUGUUUCUUCAUUAUUCAAAAAUAAUCCCACUAGUGUUAAAUUUCUACUAAAGUUAAAUUUGGUGACGGUAUCCAUAAAUUCAUCUCCGAUUAAGCCCGGGUUAAAUUUUUACUAUAGUUAAAAAAAAAAUCAAAAUACCUCUUUUAUCCCUAACACAAGGAUAAAUAAAAAAAAUUGGUGACGGUAAAAGAAUAUAUUUAAAAAGUCAAAAAAUCAAAAUAUUUCUUUUGCCUCUAACUUAGAGUAAAUAAAACAAAUUGAUGGCCGUACAUAAAAUGAUAUAUUUAUAAGGGCAAAUAGUAGUUUUAUAAACAUAACGACUGUCCCUGAUAUAUAGUUCACUAAUAGAAUUUAACUCCAGAUAUAUAUUUGAAAUAACUUGAAACGUUGAAAAAAACAUUAUUAAUAUCAGCCUUCUAAAGAUGAAAAGGAAAAGUGCUUCCCCCAAAGGCAGUACACAACCAUACAGUAGUAGUGUUAGCCACAACAGUGGCCCAUAUAUGAUUUAGCAAAAGUAUAUUCCGCCGAGGACCCGUCACCUCCUUCGAAAAAUUCUAGAAUACAACGGGUAUAUUAGUGACGUGGCAUAACAAACCAAUCAAAUAUAUCCUUUUAAGGGUAUAUGUCCCAUUAUGAUUAUAAAAAAAUAUUUUUAUUGUAUUUUUAUUUGAAAAGAAAGAAUAUGAUUGGCUUAUUAUUGAUGACGUGGUGCAAGUGUGACAGUGUAGAAUUCCUCCACCUCCCUCUCCCCGCCACAAAUACCCAUCAAUAAUUUUUUACAACUGAAAAUAAAAAUUCUAUAAAAAGUGGUGAUAUAGCACUAAAAUUUUCGAUCAGAAAUAUUAAUCUUAUUGUAGAUAGUAUAAAGAAUUUUGUAUCAAAAUAUUAUCUGAUUUGAAUACUUCUACACCGUUAAACUUGAAAACGGCAGACAUCAACUAAUAAAAAUUAUUGAUUUUGAACCCUUUCGAUCGCUAGGUAAAUGAUAUCAAAAAAUCGCAAAAAAUUAUUUUUUAGAAACUUCAAAUACGCUAGAUCAAGUCUAACGGAGCCGAUCGUCGAUUCGAAAAUUUUAUCAUCGAAAACGGCUCAGGAGCACGAAGGCCUCCGUGCUCCUAAGAACACAGCAGUCUUGCUAUAUAUAUAUAUAUAUAUAUAUAGAGAGAGAGAGAGAGAGAGAGAGAGAGAGUUGAGCUGGAAUGCUAUCGGAAGUAUAGCGAAUCUAGUACUUCCAACUUUUUGGUCCUUAGAUCAAUCUCUUUGAUCAUUUCUAACAUUUGGAUUAAUACUAUUACCAUAUGGGGACCACUCAACUCUAAGAUACCGUUUGGUAUGGGUAUAAAGAGGGGAUAAGGGGGUUGUCCCCCUCUUUAUACCCAAACACUCAUGGCUAUGGGUGGGAACAGCUGUUCCCACCCAUCGCAUAGAAUUACAGGGGUGGAAAACGAACAACCGUUCCACCCCUAAGAAUUUUAAAAAAAAAUCAAAUUUAAAAAAAUUAAAUUUAAAAUUUUAUAAUUAAAUUAAGUUAAAUUAAAUUAAAAAUCUCAAUAUUUUAACUUAUAAUUUUAUGUUUUUAAAUUUAAUUUGAUUUAAAAUUUAUAUUUUAAAUUUUAAAUUUUAAAUUUUAAAAUGUUAAAUUUUUAAACUUUAACUUUAAUUUUAAUUUUAAAUUUUAAAUUUUAAAUUUAAAUUUAGAUUUUAAAAAUUAAAAUUUAAAUUUUGAAUUUUGAAUUUUAAUUUAAAUUUUGAAUUUUUAAAUUUUAAAUUAAAUGUUGAAUUUUAAAUUUAAAUUUAAAAUUUGCUAUUUUAAAUUUUAAUUUAAAAUUUGCUAUUUUAAAUUUUAAUUUUGGAUUUUAAAAAUUUUAAAAUUGCUAUUUAAAAGUUAAAAUUUUAAAUUAAAAAAUAUAAAUAAGAAAUUUAUAAAAAUUAAAUUCAACGGCUAAUAAAGAGCAUAUCAUUAUUUUUUUAUUUAUGGCUACUCACUAUUCUCUUUAUCCAUCAUAUCUAUCCAAAACGCUACUUUUCUUAUUCCCAAAAUCAACCUAUUUUUCAUCCAAAAUACAAAAUUUAUCUAGUUCUCGCUUGUACACAGAUUUAUAUCUAUCCCUAAAUACAGUUCUUACUACAUACACCCCGAACCAAACGACAAGUCUAGGAGCAUCAACCUCUAGGAGGGAUGCAUCAUCCCAACUGUACAUUCUUGAUCCAUGGUCAAAAAAUCUGAAACAACAAAUCCUCUAUUACUUCUAAUAGUAUGGUAAUCUAAACUUUAUAUAAUAUAUUAUAUAUAUAUAUAAUAUAGAGAGAGAGAAGAGAGAGAGAGAGAGAAGAGAGAGAGGUUGAGCUGAAAUACUAUCGAUAGCAAAGACGGAUCGCUGUCAUCCAUUUAUUUUUGAUGAUGGAGCCUUUAAAUCCAUGAUCGGUAUCGUUGAAUAUUGAUCUAUACCACUAGAAACUCAAAAUCAAUUUUAUGCUUUCCAUAUUGUUCUCUUGUACAUCAAGUGGACACAAAAUGAAUGGCUGAAAAUAGAUAUAUCCUUUAAAAAGUGAUAAUAGAAUACUUGUAAUUAAGAUCGAGAGUAUAAAAUCUUGUUCUAAAUAGUUUAAAUAAUUUCUAACCAAAAUUCAAUUGAUUUGGAUACCUUUAUAUACCGUUAAAUGAGAAAUGUCUCAUAUCUACCGUUAAAAUUAAAAAUUUAAUUUGAAACCAUUUGAUCAUUAAUCAAUAAUGUCUAAAAAAUUUGAAUUUUGUUUUCUAAAUGCUUCAAAUGAUAUAGAUCAUGUUCAAUACUGUCAAUCGUCGAUUUAAAGCCCAUCAUCGAAACAAAUGAGUGUAACGGAGCCGUUUGCUACCAAUAGUACGUAUUCCAGCUCAACUAUAUAUAUAUAUAUAUAUAUAUAUAUAAUAUAUAUAUAUUUAUAAAUAAAUAAUUAUAUAUAUAGUGUGUAGAGCUAACUGUACUAUCAGAAAUAUAGAUGAUUUGAUACUUUGACUUUUAAACCUUGGAUCAAGAAUUGUACGAUUGGGAUGAUUGUAGUCUCCCUUAAAGUUGAAUAGUACCCCCCUAAGGUUGAGUGGUCCCACAGGGUAAUAGUAUUAAUCUAAAGGUUAGAAAUAAUCAAAGAGGUUGAUUAAGAGCCAAAAGGUCGGAAGGUUAGACAAGCACUUGGUAUUUUAACGGUAAAAAUUUAUAAGCACAUGUGUUGUGUGCUUGUACAAGCACCAUAGCCGGACUAUAUAUAUAUAUAUAUAAUAAAUACUAUAUAUAUAAUAAUAUAUAUAUAUAUAUAUAUAUAUAUGGAGAGAAAGAGUCAACCUUUUGGUUGAAUAGUAUAAUACUAUAUAGUAGUCUGACUCUCUCUCUCCAUAUAUAUAUAUUUAUAUAUAUAUAGAGUCCGGCUAUGGUGCUUGUACAAGCACCAAGCAAUUGGUGCUUGUAAAUUUUUUACUGUUAGAGCCUUUGAUCAUUUUUAUCCGUUAGAUUAUAUAUAUAUAACCUUUGAUCAUUUUUAUCCGUUAGAUUAUACUAUUCAACCAACCACCCACUCAACCCUAGGGGACCCACAUCAUCCUAACCGCACAUCUCUUAAUCCAAGGGCCAAAAACUUACAAGCACCAAUAAUUUGGUAGUUUUAAAAGUACAGGAGCUCAAUUCUAUAUAUAUAUAUAUAUAUAUAUACUCUUAUAUGAAUCUCCAAUAGGUAAAGCUAAUGUGGCACAACAUCAUUUUUUUGGAUCUUUUUUUUUAAAAAAAAAACAGUAAUAGAAAUAAAGCAAAUAAUCUAUACUCUUGUAUGAAUCUCCAAUAGGUAAAGCUGAUGUGGCACAACAUUAUUUUUUUGGAUUUUUUUAUAAAAAAAACAGCAAUAGAAAUAAAGCAAAUAAUAACUAAUUAAUAAUAUAGUAUUAUUUAGGCCAAUUUGCAUAAAAAAUUUAUUUAUUUUGGGCUUUUGCAAAAUCGGGCCACCUUUUUUAUUUUUGCAGAUUCGGUUCGCUUUUUCAGCAAACUAACCAAAAUACCCUUAUACCUUUUUCUCUCUCCUCUUUUUUUUUCUCUCGUUCUUUUUUUCUUUCUCUUCCGAGAGAGCGGCGAAGGCGGAGGAGGCGGCUUGUCCGGCGCAUCUUUACCCUCGCCCGCACACCCCCGCACCUUCAUCGUCUCUGACCCUGCCGAGGCCGCACCACGACUUUUUUUUUUUCCUCUCCGACUCUCCUCCACCGUUUCCGACGACGACGCCUCUCUCGCUCUUCCCGUCCUUCUUGUCCUCUCCCUCUCCUUCCUUCUCUGCCGCCUCCGACGACGACGCAUCUUCACCGGCGUCGACAAUAUGCCGGCGCAGCCUUACCCUCGCCUGCACACCCCUUCACCUUUCUCGCCUCCGACACUGCCGAGGCCACGUCACGACUCUUUUUUUUUUUCCUCUUCGACUCUCUUCCACUGUUUCAGACGACGACGCCUCUCUUGCCCUCCUCCGCCCUUCUCGUCGUCUCCCCCUCCCUCCUCCUCUACCGCCUCCGACGACGAUGCAUCUCGGCGCCGGCGUCGACACCGUGGAGAUUACUGCGGCGUUGCAGCCUCGGAGCAGGGGGUCCUUGGCAGCAUCGUCGCGGCGCCGUAGCCGUUGGCAGAGAAGGGUGACCAAAAAAAUUAUAAAAGAAGCAAGAAAAAAAAAUAAAGAUAAAAAAUUAUAGAAAAAGAAGGAUGAAGAUAAAAUUGCAUCGUUAACUGAAAAAAAAAAUUAUAAGUUGUAUUACUUAAAAUGUAAAUUGCAGCUUUAAAAUUAAAAUUACACUUUUUAAACAAGAAUUACACUCUUUGGGAGAUAUUUACACUGUUUCUCCUCUUAUUGCACUAUUUCAGAUGUAAACUACAUCCAUUAAGAUGAAAGUUACACUCUUUAAACGAAAAUUACACUGUUUUUCCUCUUGUUGCACUAUUUCUCCUCUUGUUACACUAUUUUUUAUCUUAAACUGUACUCUUUAAGAGAUAUUUAUACUGUUUCUCCUCUUGUUGCACUGUUUCUUUUCUUGUUGCACCCUUUAAGAUGAGAAACAGUGUAACAAGAGAAGAAAUAGUGCAACAAUAGAAAAAACAGUGUAACAAGAGAAGAAACAGUAUAAAUAUCUCUUAAAUGAGUGCAGUUUAAGAUAAAAAAUAUGUAAUAAGAGGAGAAACAGUGCAACUUUCGUUUAAAGAGUGUAAUUUUUAUCUUAGUGGGUGCAGUUUAUAUCUGAAAGAGUGCAAUAAGAGGAGAAACAGUAUAAAUAUCUCCCAAAGUGUGUAAUUUUCGUUCAAAGAGUGGAAUUGUUAUCUUAAAGUUGUAUUUUACAUCUUAAGUAGUACAACUUAUAAUUUUUUUUUUGCAAUUAACGAUACAAUUUUAUCUUCAUCCUUCUUUUUCUAUACUUUUUAAUUUUUAUUUUUUUUUCUUGCUUCUUUUAUAAUUUUUUUUUGUCACCCCUCUCCACGGCGCCGGCGACGAUGCCGCUAAGAACCCUCUGCUCUGAGGCUGCAGCGCCGCAGUGACCUCCACGGUGUCGGUGCCGGCGUCGGCGCUGGCAAAGAUGCAUCGUCGUUGGAGGCGGCAGAGGAGGGAGAGGGAGAGGACGAGAAGGGCGGAGAAGGGCAAGAAAAGCGUCGUCGUCGGAGACAGUGGAGGAGAGUCGAAGAGGAAAAAAAAAAAAGAGUCGUGACGCGGCCUCGGCAGGGUCGGAGGUGAGAAAGGUGCAGGGGUGUGCAGGCGAGGGUAAGGAUGCGCCGGCAUAUUUUCGGCGCCGGCGAAGAUGCGUUGUCGUCGGAGGCGACAGAAAAGGAAGGAGAGGGAGGGGAUGAGAAGGACGGGGAAGGGCGAGAGAGGCGUCAUCGUCGGAAAUGGUGGAGGAGAGUCGGAGAGGAAAAAAAAAAAAAAGUCGCGGUGCGGCCUCGGCAAGGUCUGAGACGAGGAAGGUGCGGGGGUGUGCGGGCGAGGUCGCUCUCUGGGAAGAGAAAGAAAAAAAAAACGAGAGAAAAAUAAAAGAGGAAAGAGAAAAAGGUGUAAGGGUAUUUUGGUCAGUUUGCUGAAAAAGCGGACCGAAUCUGCAGAAAUGAAAAAGGUGGUCCGGUUUUGCAAAAGCCCAAAAUAAGUGAAUUUUUUAUGCAAAUUGGCCUAUUAUUUAUUACUGUAUUAAUUAAUAGUUAAUAGUUAUUCCCUAUAAAUUAAUUUUGGAAGUUUAAUGGGUUGGCCAAUUACUUACUAAAUUUUCAUAUUUUUUCUUAUAAAGUUAACAUGCCUUUUCAAAUUACUGUAUCUUUUCUCAUUAAAGUCUUCCUAAUUAAUUCUUAAUUUAAUGCUACACCUUUAUUUUAUUAGACUUCUGCAAAAAGAAGUUGAAAAGGGCCCCUUUAUUUUAUAACUGUCUUCAUUUGUAAAUUUUCUUCCAUAUAAAUUUUUAAGUUUUAUAAAUAAAAUUUAUUAGAUAAAAAAUACUAACUUUGGACAAGUUUUAGAGAAUCAAAAUUUUAAUUAUGUACUUUUUAUACUUUAUAAGGAUAAUUUAAGCAGAAAACUAUCAUAACUUUUAAAAAUAUUUAUAAAAAAAAUUAAUUUAGAGAUAAUUAUUUGUAUGUCUCUCUAAAGUUUUAAUUAUUUUACUUGGCUCCCCGAACUCUUGAAAUUUAUAAAUUUGUCAUCCUUUAUUAGUUGACAUAUUAAUAUUAAUUUUUUCAGUACAUAUGAAUCUCUCUUCAUCUUCUCUUCUUUUUUGUUUUUGGAUUAGUAGUGAUAAAUUUUUUUAUGCAUAUUUUGUAUUUAAUUUUUUAAAAAAAAUUUCUAUCCGCCGCAUCGCACGGAGUCUACACUAGUAUAUUAGAGCUAGGCUCCUAUGCUUUCGAAAGUACGGAGGCCUCCGUGCUUAUAAGUUGUUUUCAAUGAUGGGAUGUCCGAUUCGGCGAUCGGUUCCGUUAAACAUAAUCUAUGCUAUUGGAAUUAUCUAGAAACCAAAUUUCAUAAUUUUUUGACUUCGUUUGCCUAGUGAAUGAGUAACCUCAAAAUGAACAGCUGAAAAUAAAAAUCUCAUAAAAAAUAGUGAUAAAUGACUUAAAUUUCAAAUCGGAAGCACUGUUCUUUCUCUUGAUGUUAAAUAGAAUUUUCUAUUAAAGUUUCAUAUAAUUUGGAUACUUUUACACUGUUGAACUUAAAAACGUGCCACAUCGGCUGUUAAAAUAGUUAUUUUUAAGACUCUAUGAUCGCUUCAUAAAUGAAGUCGAAAAAUUAUAAAAUUUGGUUUCUAGAUAGUUCCAAUAGCAUAGAUUAUGCCUAAUGGAGCCGAUCGUCGAAUCGGAUGUCCUAUCAUCAAAAACAACUUGUAAGUACGGAGGCCUCCGUACUUUCGAAAGCAUGGGAGACGUACUCUCUCUCUCUCUCUCUCUCUCUCUCUCUAUAUAUAUAUAUAUAUAUAUAUAUAUAUAUCACAAACUUCAACAGCGUCAAAUCCAAACACGAGCAACAGUCCCUUUUGCUACUAUCUGCCUUGUUUAUCUGCAGAUCAAUUAUAGGUUCUCUGCCCUCUUUUCUCUGUCCUUCUGCUGUCAACAGCAACAAGUCCAUAACACAGCACAAGUCCAAACAUAAUUCCAAAAAUUUUUGUCAGCGGUAGAGAUUUAGUUAGAACUAAAAACUUUUAGUUAACUUAGUAACAAAUAAUAAUUAAUAAUAAUAAUAAUAACAAUAAGCAAUAUAAAAAAUCCUUCUUUCACUUUUUCUUUAUAUUUUAAAAAAAUUUCAAGAUUUAAGUUGAAGUAUUUAUCCUAAAUUUCCCUAUAUUUUUCCGUUAUUAAAUUCUGCUACAAAUUUUCUUAUAAAAUAAAAAUAAUAGUUUGAUUCAUUUCCGCCUUUCUAUUAUAUGUGUAACACUUUAAAAAUAUUUCUAAACUUUCAAAAUAAAAGAAAAUUACUAGCUGAAAUAUAUAAUAUAUAUUAUAUAUAAUAUAUAUAAUAGUAUAUAUUAUAGAUAUAUAUAUUAUACUCUAUAUAAUAUAUAUAAUAUUAGAACAUAGGCUAAUAUACUAUUAAUAUAUUAAUUGUGCUACAAUUUGGGCCCAUUGAUUAAGAGAUCGUGGUUAGUGAUAAUUUGGCCUCUAUGGGUUUGACUGAUGGUUUUGAAUAGUAUGAUCAAUGGUGAAAAUUGAUUCAAAAUGUAAUCUACCGGUGCAAUAAACUAGGUAUCACCAUGGGGGAGUGCUAUAAUAAAUAUUAUAUCUAUAUAAUAUAGUAUAAUAUAUAUAGUAUAUAUAUAAUAAUUAUAAAUAUGGCUAUCUAACUAUCAAUACUACUAUUAAAACCUCUUAUACUAUUAGUUUUCGUCCGUUGGAUAAAAGAUGGGCGGUUAGGAUAAUAGGUUCCCGUUAAAUUAAUAGUGUCCCUAUGUAGUGGUAGUUGUUUUAAAAUGUAUAAUUAACUUUGAAAUUUACAAAGGUAGAUCAACGUAAACAAACUCAAUAGAUCAAGAGCUUGAGUACUUAAUCGAUAUACUAGUAAGCCGGACCUAUAUUAUAGUAUAUAUAUUAUAUAUAUAUAGAUAUAUUAUAUAAUAUAUAUAAUAAUAUAUCAUAUAUAUAUAAAUAUAUUAGUCUGUUAAACUAUACUUUUAGUAUUGUUUCAUUUAUAUCUCAUAAUUGCUCUUAAAUUUAUCUAUGAUCAUUUCCACACGUAAUCAUACCUAUUCAUCAACUACCAAUCAACCCUAGUGAACCCUAUCAUUCUAAUAUAGGACCACCAUCAUCCUAACACACAUCCCAUCAUCAACAGUUAAAAAUUUAUGAGUAACAGGGUCUAAGCUCAUAAAGAUUAUAGUAGCCUCAACUCUAAUAUUUUAUAUAGUAUAUAUUUGUUAGAAAAAUUUUGUGUAUUUUUAGCAUUAUAUUUGAUUAUAAUAAUAACUAGAUUAAGGCCCGCUCGAUGCGCGAAAGCCAAUUAUACAUAAAUUUAUAAAUUAUUAACAUUAUUUUUUUCUAUUAUACAUUAAUAUUUUUAAAUAUUAUUUAUCUCCAUAUUGAAUAAUUAAAAAUUAAAAAAUAAAUUAAAGAAUAAAAUUAAAGUAUAUUUUUUUCUAAAAAUAUUUUAACCUAAUAAGUAAAAUAAAAAAAUCAGUUUAAAAUAAAACAAAAACUUAUUACAGUAUUAAGAAAGAUAAAUAAUAUUUUUCUAUUACCAUCAAGGUAGAAUUUAUAAAAAAAAAUUUAAUUAAUUAAGUGGAGCGAAAAUACUAUCUUUGGUAUUCUUGGAGGCAACGUUUCCAUUAUGCUCUCAUUAACUUUUAUCGCUAUAUAUACAUACAACUAAUAAAAUAUUUAAUUCCUAAAUUUUAAAUUAGCGAAGAAAUCAGUAGUUAUAUUAUUAUAUACAUUAAUUCUUAAAAAAUUGUUUGGAAACUAAAGCGAAAAACAUGUGAAAUUUAGAAAUUAAGGACCAAAAUUAAAAAAGAGUGGAAAGAUUGAAAUCCAAUGUGUAAUUAAUCCUUUAGAAAAUUGAUGUGGGCCCACAAUCCACAAAAUAAGGGGAGGCCUUUUCUGGGUUACAAAUUAGUAUAUUUAUAUUAAUUAAUAUUUAUAAAUUAUAAAUAAAUAAAUAUAAAUAAAGUGAGAACAUUUUUUUAAAAAAGUGUAAGGUGUGUGAGAGAGAGUGAGAGAAAUAAAGUGAGAAACUUAAAAAAAAAAAAAAAACGUAAAGUGUGUGAGAGAGAGAGAGAGAGAGUGAGAAAAAAAAAAAAAAAAAAAAAAAAAAAAAACCAAACCUUGUAUGGGUUUCGAAUUCAUAAGUAUAUAAAUAUAAAUAAGGAAAAACUUCAAAAAAAUCCCGUGGUUUCAUAGUUUCUCAUUUUGCCCCCCUGUGAUUUAAAAUAUAUCAAUUUGCCCCCCCUGUGGUUUUUUUUUCUCUUUUUCUUAUUAAUUUCAUUAUUUUUUCUUAAAUUAGUGAUAAAGUUAAAAUUAAAGGGUACUAAAGUGAAUAUUUGAUAAAUCUAGAUGGGUAUAUAAAGUUUUUUGUAUAUAAUUUAAUAAAAUAUUAACUAAAAAGCUACCAAAAAGAUAAAAACGAAACCACCAGAGACAAUUUGAUACAUUUUAAAUUACAGGGGGUAAGCAAGAAACUACGAAACUAUAGGGGGUUUUGGAGUUUUCCCUAUAAAUAAAUGCUACUGCAGGUACGUACCACGCCCAUGCAGGGUACUUAGUUAGGUAGGGGAGGCGCCGUAUGGCGCUGUAGCACGCGCAAAUAAAAGGGGCGUUUCCCAUUCCCUUCCUCGGCGGAGAUCGAACGUACUACGACGACGAUGGGAAAACGCGAGAGAGAGAGAGAGAGAGAGAGAGUGAGUCGACUCGUACGAGUAAUUAGAAGAUCUAGUAGGGCACUUCGAUCCUCUCCUUUAAACUAACUCUCUCUCUCUCUCUCUCUCUCUCUCUCUCUCUCUCUCUCUCUAUAUAUAUAUUAAAAUCUCUUCUGAGGCUUUUAAUUUGCUAUAGCAAAAUUGGAAANAUAUAUAUAUAUAUAUAUAUAUAUAUAUAUAUAUAGAGAGAGAGAGAGAGAGAGAGAGAGAGAGAGAGAGAGAGAGAGAGAGAGAGAGAGUUGAGCUGUAAUGCUGAUAUAUCAGUAGUAAACGAUCUUCAUUGUCAUUUAUUUAUUUUCGAUGAUAGAACAUCCGAAUCGACGAUUGCUACUGUUGAAUAUGAUCGCUGCCACUUAAAGUAUCUAGAAAUCAAAUUUCAAAUUUUUUCGACAUCAUUGACCUUAUGAUCAAAAGAUUUCAAAUUUUGUAAUUUUAAUGGUCAAUAUGAGAUGUUUUUUCGUUUAACGGUAUAAAGAUAUUCAAAUCAGUUGAAUUUUGGUUAGAAAAUUUUUUAAACUAUUUAAAAUAAGAUUAUACUCUUGAUCUUUAUUACAAAAUUUCUAUUAUCACUUUUUAAAAGGAUAUUUAUUUUCAGCUAUUCAUUUUUGUGUCCACUUGAUGGACGAGAGAAUAAUAUUGAAAAAGUAUAAAAUUUGAUUUCUAAAUCUUUCAAAUGAUAUAGAUCUUGUUUAACUGUACCGAUCGUCGAUUUGGGGGCUCCAUCAUCGAAAACAAAAUGUCGUCAUGUGAACUCUCUAUGUAUCAAACUAAUUUAUUAAAUAAUAAAUUUUAUUAUUAUUUUUAAUUUUUUGAUGCUUUAAAGCGUAAGGAUUUCGAAAAAUUUUGAUGUUUUAAAGCAACAGAAAGCCUCACAAUAUAUUUUAUCGACGCUUGGCAUAACUGUCAAUAUAUACGUGGUGACUUUUUACUUGUUGACGCUUUAAUCAAUGCUUUCACAUGUGACGAUAGAUUAUAUUGAAACGUUUUCAUUAAAUAUAUAUAAAAAAAGAGCAUUCAUUAAUGUUAAUUUUCUUGUAGUGUAUAUAAUAUAGAUGGUGUAUAUCUACCUAACAACUUAAACUUUGCGUUGGGUCUGAGGGUCCUAGCCUUUUUAUCAGUUAAUAUCUAACAUACAUGCAUGCUCCAAUUAAAUAUUAUAAGAGAUUUAUGUUGGCUUAAAUGGGCCAGUAUUCUACCCUAUGGCUGAAGGUCAUGUAUGGGUCAAGUCAUGUUCAAAAUGACGUGAGGCUAGGUUGGGCCGAGUCAUGCAUGUUCGAAGUGGCGUGAGGUUGGUUGGGCCAAGUCACAAUCGAGACCCGUCGGCGCUGUAUCUGUACACUUUAAAUAAAUUGGUUGCGUAUUUCUAACAGUUCGAGCUUUUGAGAUUAAUGGUUAGCGUCAGGUCGCGGGUUCGAUUCCUGCAUGCUGCAAAUAUGUGCAAAUGUUGGAGGGGGGAUUGUUGGUUUAAAUGGACCAGCAUCCUGCCCUGUGGCGGGAGGCCACGUUGGGCCGAGUCACGUUCCAAAUGGCGUGAGGCUGGACAGGCCGAGUCAUGUUCGAAGUGGCAUGAGGCAGGAUGGGCCGAGUCACAAUUGAAAUCCGUGGGCGCUAUAUCUGUACGCUUUAAGUGAAUUGGUUGCGUAUUUCUAAAAGCACGAGCCUUUGGGAUUAAUGGUUAGCUCCAACGAUCCGACAAUUUACACAAAUUCAGUCAAACUAUCAAUGAGUCAUUGAUUGACAUUAUAAAUUCAAUGUAUUCAUAUAUUGCUCAAAAACAUUUAGGAACAAUAGAAAUUGGAGCCAUAUAACACAUGCCACCCUUGAUUCCAUGAGAUAAAUAAAGCAAACAAGCAAAAAGUUGUUUUCUUUAUGAGAUUUUCAGGUUUCAGUACUACGAUGAACAGGAUGACUUGUACUUACAAAAUUGUGCUCUGCAGACCAUUUUAAUUAACUAUCUUAAUUUCUCUCUAAUGUGAUGGAUUAAUAAAUUUUAGAGAGUAAAAAAAAUUGCUUUUUCAUAAGAAAUUAACUAGGUCAGAAAAAUAAUGCUGAUAAGUUCUGAUGCGGAUUCAUGGUGUUCCUGCAUAAGUUAAAAGUUAAGUUCACUCUAUGAUAGUUGUUCAAGAUGUAUAAUGCAUAUAUAACACUCUUAUCUUAUGCAGUUCAUGAGUCUCGUAGCGAUAACAAUGUCAAAUUCUUUUUAAUUUUCUUGGCGUAUUUAUGUCAAAUGUUUAAUUAAUCCUCAUUCACUACAACAAAAUAUAUUUUAAACAACACUUUUUAGACUGGCAUAUACCAACACCAUGAUUAAGUAUCGUCAAUAAACAUAUUUUUAUCAAAUACUACAACUCUUUGCUCGACGCUUUUACCAGCGUCGGGGUUAUUCUUGCCAAUGCUUUAAAGCAUCGCUAGUUAUUGUUUAAAGUGUCAUUAAGUGCAAAUUUUGUUGUAGUGUCAGAAGAAUCCUAAAGAAUUAAUAAUUUCUUUUCUUAAUGCAUGGAAUUACAAAGGGCUGUUCUUGAUCUCCUUAUAGAACACUCGAAAUCUAGGUUUCACAGUUGUGAUUUACAACUGUUGUACUCUAAAACUUAAGCUGAUGAAAAAUGAUUGAUAUUUAAAUAUUUUUAUAUUUAACACUUUCUCUCUCGUCUAGGCCCGAGACUUUUCGUAGGGUCGUGACGUGAACUUGAAUUAAAUAUGAGAAAAUUAAUAAUGCUAGAAGUCUGGUGUAACUCGAACUCAAAACCUCCUACUCUGAUGCCAUGUGAAACAAUCGUUGUACUCUAAAACAUAAACUGAUAGAGAACGGUGUUUAAAUACUUUUAUAUUUAACAACAAUUCUCCACAUACUUAAUCCCAAAUAACUUGAUCUGCACAAGUCAAAACUGCAUGAGGUUCUUGUGAUGAGAAAGUUCACUUCAUCAAUCAAUGCUCAGUAGUGAAAUUUACAUAUAUAUAUAUAUAUAUAUAUAAGUUGUUUACACCCGCGCGAAUGACCUGCACACCACUUUUGUAGAGCAUGCAUUGAGCCAGUAAAAAGUUCCACAGAUUUUGAGCCUUAAGUAAAAGAGAACUUAAAAAGUUGAAGCUUCUGCACCUGCAAAAGUGAGAAAUUAUUGAGAAGAAUCUAAUAAACCACUAAACAAAUUAAGUUAAAUUGGGGCAACAGACGUCGUGCGAUGUUUGCUCAUCGUCAAGCGGCGAUAAUGUUCUCCAAAUUAAUGUACCACAAAAUGGGGCAUUAAUAAGAUGGUUAAUUGUGCAUUUCGAUCAUAUAUUGGAAAGAAGUUGAUAUUACUAAUUAACUUCAAAUUUUAUUACUUUUCAAAAGGAAAAUAAAAAUUCUCCUAUCCUACUUCGAGGAAACACCACUUCUUGAGACAAAUUAAUACAUACAAGCAUGUUCCACUAACUCUUUGGCUCUUCCUAUAGUUUAUUUAUACUAAAACUAGGAGUCUAGCUAUAUGGUGCUUUUAAAGUACCAAGCAUUUGGUGCUUAUAAAUUUUUCGUCAUUAGAUCUAUCCCUUUGACUAUUUUCAUUCGUUAGAUCAUACUAUUCAACGAAUCACCUACUAAAAUUUAAUGAGACUACUGUCAUCCUAACUGCACAUUUUUUCAUUCAAAUGUCGAAAAUUUAUAAUUAAGCACUAAUGCCUUGAUCCUUUUAAAUUCCUAGGUGCUCAAUUCCUAAAACAAAGUACUAAUUGGAUAAAGCCAAUCACUUAAACAUCUCUCUCUCUCUCUCUCUCUCCAACUUUUUUUUUAAUAUUUAUUUUUUCAUACAAUGAAACCUAAAGUCAAAGUAGUAUAAAGACACCCCCCAAAAUCCCGGGCGACCUAUAUUGUGUAGACAAAAGCAUGUGCUUUGGAAACCGUGCCAAUUCCCACCACUUCAAUUCACUAUACUACUCUUCACUUCUUCUUUUUUUUUGAUUUUACUACAACACUCUCACCAUUUUAAGGAGCCUCUCCAUGUGUUCAAAUUAUUUUCUCACUUAUUUUCUCAUUGACCACUUUUUUUGCCCCACACCUUUUUAUGUAGAACUGGUUCUACUGUUCUUGCUGUGCCUCCUAUAACAAUUUAUUUUCUUCAACCCAACUUACAUAUAUUUGGUGAUAAUUUGGUGAUCCACAAUUUAUUUUCCUCAAAUCAAACAUAUAUAUUUUGCAGUUGGUAAUCUAAUAUAUAUAUAUAUAUAUAUAUAUAUAUAUAUAUAUAUAUGAAAUGACAACACAAUCUGAAUGCGAAUCAAAUUACUAAGAAAAACUUAAAAUCAAUACAGUAUGAACACGUACGUGUAACCUAACUAUAAUAUGGUAUGAAACGAUAAUCGUUCAUCAUACAGAUGAUUUUCUUCAGUAUAUAGGAUAAUCAUUCAAGUCAUACAUAUUUUAACAUAAUUCGCAAGUUGAUUCCAUCAACUUGAUUAUCAAACAUUAAUAUGACCUCAUAAUUAAUUAAUGUAUCCAAAUUGCGCGCCCCCCUAAUAUAAACUAUACUGGCUUUAUUAUAGGUAAUACUCAAGGAAACAUAUUGACCCAGCUUCCUUAAAACUUUUUGUUGCAUUUUUGAGAUUCUAAUAGUAUAUGCAUCUACUUCCCCCGUAAGUUGUUCUUUUCACAAAGGUAAGAGUAGGGAUAAAGUGGUUAGGUUUGGAGCACUAUUUGAACUUCACAAUAAAGGGUAUAUAUGCCUAAAAACAUAUAGAAAAAUUGAUCUUGUUCCUUUUCUUGAUAAAAAGAUCGAAAGGAGCUUAUGAUUAUGCGCAUCAAAGUUCUAUCUACAAAAUAAGUGGAGAAGUCAAGGUUCCUAGAUUCCAAGAACCACCUCGUACUAUGAGAAUUUAUCCUAAAAAUGUGAUUCGUUGUGAUAAUAUGAUCACCAAGUGAGUAUAUUGAUUCUUCUAUUUCUAUAAAAAAAAAUAGAAAUUUGAUUUUGUGAGCUUCAUAUAUAGUUCGAAUGCUUGUCACGUAGAUUACAAUUAAUAUUGGAUUGACCUCACUUAAUUUUGUGCCUUAGCUGCUUCCAUAAUGUAUCGCCUAAUUCACUUAUCAAUGAAUGAAGCAGAUAGCCUGUCUACCUAUUUCUCAAAAAAAAAAAAAUUUGUGCCGAGACCAUAUUUGAUCUAUAUAAUAUCACCUUGUCUUAAUAGUUUUACUAUAUUAAUUUUAGCCUCUUUUUGGGUACCAAUUAAGUUUUUAGAAGAAUUGCAAAAUUCCCAACAAAAAAGAGAGGAAAAAAAAACAUUGUAGUGGGGUCACUUGGAAUUUUUGUCCCCAAAGAUUAUAAAGUUUAAUAGAAAGGGUGCAAUAACCAAUAAAUGUUUCCAUCUCCUUAUCAUGUUCUACUUAGCAAUUUCAUAUGAGUGACCCACUAAACAGUUGAUGUUGUUGGAUUAGGAAUUAGAUGAUCAUCCAUUUCAUCUUUUUGACCCCUUUUCUUUAGUAUAAUUCUAAAUUAAUCUCAAAGAGACAUGAAAGUGAUAGUUCUAAUAUUAUUUACCGAUUAUCGUGGGGUUGCCCAUUAACUAUAUUCAACUGUGGCAUUAAUCAGGCACGCACCCACGCACUAAUCUACGAAAAUGUUUAUAAACUAAUAUCAUAUAUAUAUAUAAUUCUCUUGCAAUUGAGUGACAAUGAUCAUCACACAAAUGUUCCAUGCAGAUGAAACAAAGAGAACACAAGGUGGUAUCACUAACAAAGUCAAAUUAGAGAGUAAGACCCAACAUUAAUGGUCCCUACAUAUAGAGUACCCCUCUUCAUAUUUAUAGAUAUAUAGAUAUAUAUAGGUAUAUAAUAUAUAGAUUACUCCAACAUAGCUAUAUAGAAGAAGCUACAUCAAGGAAUGUCCCCAUGCAUUUAAUGCUUCAUGUAGUUUUGAGUCUAUGUUAACUGCCCCUUUUGAAAUAUUUGAAGGGGACAAGGAAUUCAUAGCAAUUUGAUCCAAUUUUUAUUUUUCUUACUCUGUGGAAGCACAUGGGAGAUCUAAUUAACUUAGGAAGACAUUCUUUAGGAUUAUUAUCAAAAUUAAAAGUUCAACAACUCCUUGUACAUAUGAUUAAGUGCACAUCCCUAUUGUAAACAUGGUUUAAACACAUCAUUAUACUCUUUCAUUAAAUCUACAACUAGAUUUAAAAAAAAAAAAUUAGUUGUGAUCUUAGAUGAAUAACUAUUAUAAACGCAUCGUUGAGAAAAUAAUUAAAGAAAAUAAGUUAGGUGCAUUUUUUUGUCCUUAGGUAUCCAAUGAUACUUCAUGGAUUAUCUCAAAGUAACUCUUUGUUACUAUUAAUGCUGAUUAUUAAGUAGUAGGUGGACCCAAAAUUCCUAAUUUAAUUUUCUUUUACGAUUCCAACACACGGUUAGACGAAAAACAUGGCCUUAGAAGAGAUUAGUACAAUAUUAAUAUAUCUCGCAAGAAUUUUAGGAUUCUCAGCUAAUAGAAUAUUGGAUUUUCUAAUGAGUGUUCUUAAAUUAAUGGUGAUCGAUUCUAUUAAAAGUUCUACUUUUGAUAUCGACAGAUAAAAUUUUUAUCAAAUAUAGAUAUUAUUUGUUAAUUAAUUAUAUACUUGAUCAGAUUCAAUAUAUUUAGUGUAAUAGCAACUCACGAAGUGCAUUAAAUUUUACAUAUGCCAUAAGGUUCGUAAGUAUUGGUGGAGCUAAAGCAUUCAAUGAGAUAGGCCCCACUGUUAUAUUAUGAAUGGAUAAGAUACACUCACUCCCUUCUCAUGCAUUGAACUAACAACCCUAAUUACUAGAUUUUAACUAGUGCCCUAUUAUAGAGAAAAGGUAAAAGAUGAAGAGGAUUACUUUGAUGAUCAAACUUUCCAUUUUAAAUAUGUUUAAG
rnacentral:lncRNA from 1 species